rnacentral:lncRNA from 1 species
GGCACCACCCUGACAAGCACGUGGCACAUGACCAAGCGAACAUUUUUGAUACGACGGUCAUGUCGCCUCUCAGGGAGCUGCUGAAAAGGCGGAUGAAGCAGCAGACCAUGGACAGGUUCCUCAGCAAGAAGCAAAGAGUGGAAGAGGAACCUUCUUCGAGUGGUCCCCCAGAGUCUUAGAAAAUGUAAUGUACCCUUUUUGAUUUUUAAAUGUUUUCCUGUCAUGUUUAGAAACUUAAUUUAUUGUUCCUUCAAUUUUGAUAUGCUCUUUAAAGUAUGUGUGACUUUAAAGAGCAGUUAAUAAACUCUUGUUGUACCAAAUUUGGCUUUGAUUGGACUUUUUUUGACCAUAGGAACGCAUUAAUUGAAUUUCAAUGCAUUCCUAUGGGAUUUCGUGCUUCGCAAGACGAAAAAUUCGCUAGACGAAAAAACUCGCGGAACGAAUUAAUUUCGUCUUGCGAGGCACCACUGUAUGUGAUCUCUGUAUUAUGUCCCUUCCCACCUAUCUUGCAGUUGGAUGAAAAUGUUGAACCGUAUCCACAGCCUUGAGGAUACAUACCUCCUUUUUCUACUCAACAACAACUCAAUUGGACCAAAAUAGUUGUGUACACACAAACACACACACACAAACACUCCUGCCCAGCAGUUUAUUGCAGAUUUUUGCCUACAAGAAGAAUAAAAAAGAUGGCAUAUGAAGUUGUUUUAUUAUUGAGCUUUCCACCUUUUUUCCUUAAAGCUUUCUUUGUUUGUUUGAAUUGUUGUUUUAUUCAUGCUUUUAUUGCACCAAUUUUGGGCAAAUAUUUAAUCUGCAAUUGCCAUUCGGAUUGCAACUACCUUCAAUACGAAUACAUUCAUUUAAUAUUGAAUAUUCAUUAUUGAAUAACUUCAAUACGAAUACAAUACAUUCAUGCACAUCUGACCUAUAAUAGGUAAUAGAAAUCUGUACAUUAGAUGACAGCAAAAGCCCUUUUGUGGAUGUGCAUUCAUAGACAAAAAUAGCAAUCUCAUUUUGGUGCUUUGUUUUCUCUGAAGAGCAUAGCCAUCUGUCUAACACCUGCUACCUGUGUACUGUCUGCUUCUUCCAGCUGACCUUAACAGUCUCUCUGUGCUUGUUAUCUGUGACACUUCACUGGCCAGUUUGCAUCCAUCCAUCCUCUGCUGCUGACAUCCUACCUGAGUACAGGCUCCAUCCUCUGACACUUGGUAUGCAUGCAGCAUCUGGGCUUGGAUUGGACAGCAAUGGUGUAGACAGUGAUUUGUGGAGCAAGACCUCUCUGGGAGCACAUUGCAUCUCCUAACUUGCUUCAUUUCAACUCUGUCAUGAGUUUUUUUCUUCUAUUCAUCAUUAAGCUACCAAUCUUGGCCGUGGUAUUGUUUACUUGUAUUUCAAGAAACUCCUUUGAAUUCUGCAACAAGUGCUCUGCAGUGACCCUGACAAGCACAAUGAAUAAUUUGAAGACAUGAUUUUCUCUUUCAAAAAUUCACCAUAACCAUCAUAUUAAUUUAUUAUUCCUGUUUAUUGGGAUCAAUUCCCUUGCUAAAUUUAAAGGGAAGAGAGUGCAAAAAAAGAGAAACAAGGGUGACUAUGGUCCAGUGGCUAAGAGACUGGGUCAAAUCCAACCUCUAUCAUUGACUCAUGAUGUGGCCUUAGGAAGUUACCAGCCCAACACCUGCUUCUAACCAUUCUUAUAUGGAAACAAGUGCCAUUCACUUCCAUCUCAGGCAGGUUUUUACUGGCAAUAAUGUCCCAAUUCUCAGAACCAAAAUGAACAACAAAAUAACAUACAACAACUACUCCAGAAUAUGUCAUGAAGACAGAUUAGGCUACCACCUUGCUGAAGCUAACCAGGUCUGGGCCAAGUCAGUGCCUGUAUAGAUGAUUACCUGGGAACCACAUGUAUAUUGUUGAGUUCCAUGAAAGAAAAAAGGUGGAAAGUUCAUAGAUGGUUAUAUGUCUGUUCCAGUCUCCCAUCGCACAUACAAUUGUUUAGUGCUUUCUUGAUAUGAUAAAAUAAAAGAGUCAUGGUUGCCAGCACAAAAUCGGUGUCAUGUACAGCAAAAAAAGAUGGUACUCUACACCAGUAAGUACCAUCCCAAUAAAUCAACAACUAUAUUUGUGUGUGUGUGUGCAUGCACUCACAACAUUCAGAAUUAGCUUGAAAAGUCCUUAAAAUUUGAUUUUAAACUGUCUAACAAAGCUGAUCACUUCUGAAUUUUGGUUGUUUUGAUAUGAAUUUCUUCAUUUAAUUAAAAUAGAUAAAACAUCUAGCCGCAUAACUACUUGAUUUUUUUUAUGAGAGUGAUGAAGAAGAACCCUCCCAAAAAACAACCCACCCUACAAAAUUGUGCAAGAGCUUUUAAAGCACUUUAGUCACAAGGGCCAAUUGGCAAUGUUCAUUCUUAAUAAGAGCUGAUCUUCCUCACCCUCUAUCCCCAGUUAGCCCUUAGAGGCUUGAAUAAGUGAAAAAUAGCAAGUCUUUAUAAAUGUUACUAUCUCACAAUACUAUUUUUGAGGUUCCCUAACCCAUACCGCAACCUAUUUUUUUAUCAUGAGUAAAAAUCUUUAUUGUAUAAAACCAUAUUUCAGUCUGCAUUAGGGUAAUCUGAAGUAGUGUGCAACAUGGUUGUCUGUGCUGGCGACAGAUUUGGACCAUCCAAAAUCCAGGUUAUGGUUUGACUUCUAAACUAGCCUUCUACCAAAUCACUGGCUCAUCUAGCUCAGUACUGUUGACACUGUCUGCCAGUGACUCUCUGUGGUUUCAAAUAGGAGCCUUUCCCAGCCCUCCUUAGAGAUUAUGCUAAUUGAACUUGGGGCAUUCUACAUUCAAAGCAUGUGCUCUACCACUGAUCUAAAGUCUUUCCUCAAAUAGUCAUGUGAAUCAAUCCAAAUAUGUAUGUAUGUAUUUAAUUAAUUCAUAGAUUGCUUAAUUGCUCUAAUAUAAGAAAAUAUCUAAACAGCUUACAAAGUAAACAAAAACAAAGGCUUUUUUUCAGGAGGAAUUCACCGGAACUCAGUUCUGGCACCUCUCAGAUGGGCGCCAUUGCCAUUCGAAGAGAACAAGGGAGGGAUGGACAAAUAAACCAUUUGAGGUGUUUUACUUUUUAAUCAAAUGGUGUCUAAGUUUUAUUAAAUAAAAUACUGUAAAUAAAAUGAAAAUAUAUUCUGUCAAGGAAAAUCCAGAAUCAAAAUACUAAAACAAAUAAUUGAGCAGGCCAAUAAAAAUAUAACAAUUGAGAAAUGCCUGAACCAACAGAUACAUUUUUAAUGGGCAUCUAACUACUGGUGUUUCUCAGACUGGAUAGGGGAGGGUGUUCUAAGAUGAUUUGAAAAGGCCCACUGCAAAAAAAGAAAAAAGGCUGCUUCUGUGUUGUCACUAGAUGAAAAUCUUCCAGCUGCGGCACAACCAGCAGGACCUCCUCUAAGGAGUCGAAAGAUUGACUGGCUCUGUUACAGGGGAGCGGAUCUGACAAAGGUGUGCAAAAAGUGGAUAGAGAAAAGUUUUUCCUCCCCUCCCAUAAUGCUAAAACUCAGGGACAUCCAAUGAAACUGAAUGUUAGAAGAUUCAGGAUGACAAAGGAAGUACUUCGUGGUGUAGUGGUUAAGAGCGGUGGACUCGUAAUCUGGUGAACCGGGUUCGCGUCUCCGCUCCUCCACAUGCAGCUGCUGGGUGACCUUGGGCUAGUCACACUUCUUUGAAGUCUCUCAGCCCCACUCACCUCACAGAGUGUUUCUUGUGGGGGAGGAAGGGAAAGGGGAAUGUUAGACACUUUGAGACUCCUUCGGGUAAUGAUAAAGAGGGAUAUCAAAUCCAAACUCCUCCUCCUCCUCCUCUUCUUCUUCACUCAGUGCAUAGCUAAGCUGAGGAGCUAGUUCAACUUGAACAUUAGAACUUGGUUUACUUUUAAAGAGGAUUUGAUAGAUUAAUGAAGGAUAAGACUGAGAGUUGCUACCAGGCACAAUUGCUAUGCUCUUUCUCCACUGCCAGAGGCAAUAUGCCUUGGAAAACCAGUUGCUGGGAACCUCAGGAGAGUGCAGCUGGGCUCAGGUCCUGCUUACAAACUUCUCGUGGGAAUCUGGUUGGCCACCUGAGAGCAUCUUAGUGGACAAAAUGGCCCUUUGACCUGAUCCAGCAAACUCUUAUCAUGUUAUGCUACUCGCUGGAUCAUCACCUUGUCAUGGUGAGUGGACUUGCACAUUCCAAUGACCCUUGUGAGCAAAGCCAUCGGGAAUUUUGUAUUCCCAGCAGGGUCACCCAAGGCGGUAAAGGCAAAGGGAAGGAGCUAGACAAAGAAUGAUCCAAGAAGUCCACAAUGGGAGAACAAGUGGCAUAUUACAACAGCUGUGAAGGUGGAUGAAGGCUGCAGCAGAUAAGAAUCUACCGGUUCAUAGUGACUACUUACGCCAUCAGAACAGAGCCUUACUGCAAAGACUGUGCGUUGGUAAGCGUACACUGAUCUACACACAUAAAACAAAUUCACACACAGGCAUCUUCCAAAAACCCAUCAUGUUAAAUAGUAGUUCCCUCACAAGUUGUAUAGCACAAUAAAUUCUCAGCUAAUGUUGUACUAGCUAAGACAACUUCACACAAUCACAACAUUUGAUAACUUAUCUUUCAAUAGCACGCAUCUGCAUAUGUAAUCCAUUGCCACUGCUGACAUCGCACAUGGCCAAACCCUUCCUUGGAGGGGGGAGCAUUUGAGGGCUUUUGUGAUGUGGUGACAAAACCCAUUCAUGCUUCAAACCUGCAUGUGGUGUUUAAAUUUUAAAGCACACUGUGCUAAUCUUUCAAAAAAGAUUUCAUUAACUUGGAUACUGUAAAUUAAUUACCUCAUGCAGCUCAAGAUAUUGCAAUGAAGUGGUCUUUCAGCACAUACGGCUGUGUCCUGCUGAGCAACAGCCAGCGAGGAAUGUAUUAUUAGUAGCAACUGCACUUAACUUUGUAUAUUAACAAUUUUGACUUUUGUAGCACACCCUAAAUGGUAUUUAGAAAAAUCUUUAGGAACUGGCAAGUUUACCACAAGUGAUCAGCAUUUAUAGAUUUCUAAUUGUAUUUUCUCUUCUGAGUAACAUGGUUGCUGUUGAUUAGUUUAGCUGUUUCUUUACAUAUGUAUGCCAUUAUCUCUCAUCAGAGCUCAGUCUACCGAAUCUCCCAGGUGGCUUCCCAUGCAGGUGUUACCAAAGCCAAGCUUGUCUCAUUUCUGAAAAUGAGCUUGGUGAUGUGCCAAAAUACUCUGCUAUAGAACAUUUUCAUUAGGUCACGACUGGUCAGAACUUUUUUUUACUAAAAGAAUUAAGCAUGGCAUUUUGCUUUAUUUUAAGUUUUAAGAAGACGUCACCCACUGCCUUUAGAGACAAAGCAAGUGGGGUUAACUGUUGUACACUCAUACAACAUCUCAGCAAGCACAUUCCAGCCUGGAAUUCCUUCACACUCAAGGAGCAGGGCCAAUGAGAGAAGGCCAGAUCUGCUGCACCUGUGGUAGGCUGGCCCUGCUGUUCUCACAGUGGCUAACCACGUGCCUAUGGAAAAGCCUAACGGGACCCUGCAGUUUCCAGCAAAUGGUUUUUAGAAACAUUAGACAGCUCAGGACCACAACACGAGAAUGGGCCUUUUCUGCAGUGGCUCCCCGUCUAUGGAAUGCACUCCCCAGGGAAGUUUGCCUGGUGCCUUCAUUAUACACCUUUAGGCGCCAGGCAAAAACAUUCUGUUUUAACCAGGCCUUUGGUUGAUCUUAUUAACAUCAAACACCCUUUUAGAAUGUGGACUUUUGGGGGGGGGUUAUUGGAUUAUUGCUUUUGGUUUGGUUUUAUAUGUUUUGAACCACCCUGAGACCUCCGGGUAUAGGGCAGUGUAUAAGUUGAAUAAAUAAUAAUACUACAAGAACUGCCUCUCCCCGUAUGACCUGACCCAGACCUUGUGAACAUCAUCUGAGGCCCUUUUUUAUAUGCCCCCGCCACAAGCAGUCCGGAGGGUGGUAACACAAGAACAGGGCCUUUUGUGUGGUGGUUCCCCCGUUUGUGGAAUGCUCUUCCAAGGGAGGCUUGUCUGACACUUUAUUAUAUAUCUUUAGGUUCCAGGUAAAAACAUUCCUCUUCACUUAGGCCUUGGGCUUAUUAAACAACAUAUGGCCUUUUAAACUGGUGAUGAACUAAUUGUUUUCUUUGUUAUUAUGUAAUGUCUUUUCGUGUUUCUUACCUUAAACCACACUGUGAUCCUCAGAUGAAGGUUGGUAUAUAAAUUUAAUAAAUAAUAAAUCACAAUUACUGCUUCUGACUGUGGAGGCAGAGCAGAGACAACAUGGCUAGUAGUCACCAAUGUCAAUAUAAAUUGCUGGUGAACCUUCUUCCAAUGGUUCAAAUUGUAUCAGGACAUUUUCUCUAGAUUAGAGUCAGCAUGAAUUUAAAGAAAACAACUCAUACAUAAUAGUGCAGUUGUACAAAUCACAGCAAACUUCCUGAACACUGACUUUAUUGAACAAGUCCAUAGCACCAAUAUAAUUUGAUUUUCACAUAAUUGCUACAGAUCAGGAGAAAAAGGAGUAUUGAGAAUCAUUUCAAAGACACGAACAUUGCCAAAACGUACUAUAGGUAUUGGGAGUGGAGUAAGGAUUGUUAGAUGGCAAUGGCAUUUUAACACAGAUUUACAAGUGCCUGACAUUUCCGGUGCAUUUUGCAAAUUAAUUGAACUCAUAAUGUCAGAUGACAGCCUGGAAUUCAGAGUUAAAUGUUGUAUGAAAGUAUGGGAAUUCUGAAGCACGUCAUCAGUACACUGACAGAGCUGUUGUACAUGAUGGCUGAUUUUAAAUGGGACAUUGCCAGCUUUAGUCCCACAGUUAUCUGUAACUCUUUAAACCAAAACCAAAUGGGAAGGCAUAUUAGGUGCCUAUUGCCACAAGUAGUUGUCUCAAAGGUGCAUGUCCACUGUGACCAUGGACAUGCACCCCUACUCUGCCGCCCCACCACUGUCACUGCUGUGGGAACACGGAAACAGUGCUGGAAAGCAACAGUGAUGCAUGUGUGAUGUGACAUCAUAACAGGUCCUGUGUAUUCUUUAGUCUGGAGUAUAUCUGAUCCAAUCUCUCAGAGAACUUUAAGAAAAUUCUACGCCUCUCAGCUCUUAAUUCUGGCAGCUAUUUCUCCAGGAGUUUUGCAUUAUAUCAACAAUCACUGAAGCAUUCAAUUUUCUUUUUGCCAUGUUGAGUUCUAUUACUGUCCCCCUUGGUAGUCCCCACUUCCAGGAACUUAGAACGCAUUUCUUUCUCACACAGAUAGAAUUCGGUUUCGGUUUCACAGCAAACACAGCAUCUACAAGAUGGAGAUUCAAUGCAGGUUCAAAGCUUUCUUAUCAGUUGCAUUCUUUCAAAAUCAAGUAAUUAAUUUAGGCUUUUUGAUUUAUUUUCUAGCCUGCUAACAAAUGCUUUUUUGGCUCUCAGCAGCCCACCUGUGCUCUGGGUGCUAAUUAACUGGCAGAUAGAAAAUCCAAUUUGUAUUUACUUCCAGUCUUACUAAUAGUUAAAAGAAGGGGGUUUGUCAACCUGAAUUAAGGGCUAUUAUGUCAUUUGUGGUGCUGAUGAAUGUUUCUUGCUUGAGACGUUCCUCCACUCCCCAAAACUUUUGUCUCUGGCAUGAUGAAUGUCUUCUUCUGAGCAUGUGAGGAUUAUCCCUGAACUCCCUUAUCUCAAAGGGAGUUUUGGUAACCAAGAUUUAUACUGUGAUUAUCUAAAUCACCACAUAAUGAUCUCUGCUGACACUCCUGUCAGCAGCUGAUGACUAUUCCACAAUUUUCCUUCCCGGAAGUUCUCUGGAAGGGGAUUAUUUCAAUCACUGAUUAAAACCUUGGAAAGCUGUUCUGAGAUAGGCUAUACAGUGCCCAGUAGGAAAUCCUCAAAUGAGGAAGAAUUGUACUGAACAACAAUAGUGCUUGUGACUAAUCUCUGCAGUUUUUGGCUCUUCUGAGUCACUGUAUAAAUAAAUAUACUCCAACACAUGGUAGCUCUCAACAUGUCAUACUGGAACUGUGAUAAUCAAAAUGCAGAUAUUUUGGAUUAUUUAUUUCAUCUCUGUUUCAGUUUGAGCCACAGAAUAAAUGAGAAAGACUGAAUACAAUGGGGACCUAACUGGAACCUUCAAAGAGAACUCAAAUAAAUGACUACCUCCAAAGCAUUAAAACACUGAGAAGCAUUUUUUAAAGACAGCAAAGCAGGUAGGUGCUGAGCAAGUGCCCAGGGCAUUUGUGCUUUGAGUGGCACAAAGAUUAUAAUACAGAAAUAGCAGACUUUUUUUGUUAGCAUUAUAACACUUCUGCAGGUAGAGCGUUUCAGAAUACACCUUGAUAAAACCUAUUAGUUACACUUAUUUUCUUCCCAACUUUCAAGGAUCUUAAGAUCUGAAUUCACAUGAGCUUUCCAUACAUUUGCAGAAUGUGUGGAGGGGGUUGCAUGGCCAGAUGAGGUAGCCAUGCCCUCUGCCACUGCUCCACAGUCCCUUGUCAGUGUAUUCAGUGGGCAUUGGGGAAAAAAUCUAUCUGCAUACAAAUGGAUGGAUGUAAACCUCCUUCCAGUGUCCACCAAACAUGCAGACAUUGGCGGAUUGCAGUGGUGACAGUGAAGGAGGCUUUAUAGUCUUUCUUUGAAGGGUUUUCUCUGUGACCCCCCCACUCCCCCUGUUUUUAGAAUGUUAUCCUUUUUUUGCAUUCUGAUUUGGCUUCGAAAUGGUAUACAAUAGUGUGAUCAGAUUUUCUUGGGAGAAAAGCAAUGACAAACCUAGAUAGCAUCUUAAAAAGCAGAGACAUCACCUUGCCAACAAAGGUCCAUAUAGUAAAAGCUAUGGUGUUCCCAGUAAUGAUGUAUGGAAGUGAGAGCUGGACCAUAAAGAAGGCUGAUCGUCAAAGAAUUAAUGUUUUUGAAUUAUGGUGCUGGAGGAGACUCUUGAGAGUCCCAUGAACUGCAAGAAGAUCAAACCUAUCCAUUCUGAAAGAAAUCAGCCCUGAGUGCUCACUGAAAAGACAGAUCCUGAAGCUGAGACUCCAAUACUUUGGCCACUUCAUGAGAAGAGAAGACUCCCUGGAAAAGACCCUGAUGUUGGGAAAGAUGGAGGGCACAAGAAGAAGGGGACGACAGAGGACAAGAUGGUUGGACAGUAUUCUCGAAGCUACCAGCAUGAGUUUGACCAAACUGCAGGAGGCAGUGGAAGACAGGAGUGCCUGGCGUGCUCUGGUCCAUGGGAUCACGAAGAGUGGGACACGACUAAACGACUAAACAACAACAAGUGUGAUCAGAUUGGCUGCAGGACUGAGAGAUUAUAACUUAAUCACUGCAUCUUCCAGAAUCAGGCUAGACUGAGAAAGCCACAGGGUUACGUGGUAAACUUUAGGGUUGUGAGGCAAUUUGACUCUGUGUCUCUCUACUCUUAUUCCAACACACUAAGCACGGCACUAGCUUGAGUUACGCAUUCUUGAACCAUUUUUCUUUCUCCCUCCAAAAUUUAAUAUCAAUUAUUUAAAGGGUUUCCAGUCAGUAACAAGAAAAUGAUAUGCUCUACAAUCCUCCACACACUGUCUGCUGUUCAAAAGAGAAAGAAAAAAAAGAUGUUCUGGUCUUUGUGUGUCAAUAUUUUCUGUGUUUGUGGUGACUGAGUGAUGAAAGAUGUAAAGUGGGAUUCAUACCCAAGAAAGCAAUUUGUGGCAGGCAAUAAGGAACAUACAAAUGAGUUGAAGGCAGGAGAAGCUUAGGCAGAAAGAAACAGAAGAGUCCUAAUUUCCUAGCACAUUAGUAUUUGUAUAAUGCACUUUUCUUCCAGGGAACCCAGAGUUGAGUGAGAGGGGUCCCGUGUCCAAGUAGAACUCGGUGAUUAUACUUCUAACAGCCAUGUCAGGAAGAACAGGCUGAGAGAGAGAUAACUCAGGAGCCUUCAUAGAUGAGAAGGAAUUUUAGCCACAAUAUAUCCAAAACUGGACAUGAGCGGCAGAAGAAUAUUUCUAAAGAAUUCCCAGCAAAUCAAAGUGUUAGGUUGGUAGCCAAUCAGAUUCAAGGAGGAUUCCCCCCUCCCGGUUUUCUAUGUGCUGAUAAACAAAGUCAGCCAAGCUGGUAUAUGACAAAUUAAUAUUAUAUUAUAAUAUUUAAAGUUUGUGUGGAAAAGUAGCAGUUGUUUGGUAGGGAAGUUGAGACACCACAGAGCUCCAUUUCAUGUCACCUGAAACACUGAAUCAAAAACUAGUGAGCUAUUGAAGCGUGUGAACAGAAAAGAUUGUUGAAGUUCUCUUUGGAUAAUUUUCUUUUGAGGAUCCCAUAAGAAAACUUGCUGUUUAAUUUUGCGGGUUUAAUGGCAUUAAAUACCCCUUCGUUGGAAACACGCUGGGGAAAUAAAUAUCAUUGACCUAUUAAGUAAAAUAUUUAAUCUCUGGAAAAUGUUCCUUGCAUUCUGUCUAACUAGUGAGUGUUACCUGACCAAAUAGGAACAAGAGAAGAGCCUCGAUGGAUCAGGCCAAAGGCCUUCUCUUCUUUCAAUGGCCUAUAGGAAGCCCACAAGCAGGAGACCCAAUGCUAUUUAGAGACACAAUGUUCUCUCUAUGCAGGGCUGUCUUUACCGGGGGGGGGGGGGCAGGGAUUGUGGGGCACCCAACGCCGAAUUCUGAGGGGUGCCAGGCACCCACUGCUGAAGCCGCCUAAGCUCUUAACUAUCUACCUGUUAUGAAAUAAUAAAUAAUUUUGAUCAAGCUAGAAAAACAAAAUACAUAUAUACCUAGGUAUUACCAAAAUGUAUACCUACUGUUUCACUAAAGGACUUUCAACUUUGUGUGCUCAUUUACUAAAGAUGCGCCACGCCAGCGGCUGUGCUUGUCAUUCACAAUGGUGGCGCUUGUCAGACUUGAACACAGUCCCAUAGAGGCAGGGGAGUCUUUAGCAUAUGCGCUGCCGGGGUGACUGGGACAAACCUUGUUAUGCUGAAUUUGUAUUUUCCACAAUUUGUAUAUGGUGUUUGUUUGAUAAUGUGUGGUUUGCCUAACAAAGGAUUGAUUGAAGGACUGCCCCAGAUUGUAAAACCCUGAUUAAACAUGUUAAACAUGCAGUUGGGGAGAGGGGACCCUGGGGAAAUUGAGGGGCUGUAAGGCCAAUUUAAGCCUUUGGUGCCCUCAGACAGAAUGCCGGACAAUGCCACAGUGCCUCAUUACACUGGUCAUUACAUUACACUAGUCAUUACAUUAAAAUGUGCUAGAAUUUAGACAUUAUUUUUAGCAUCAAACGUACUUGGGAUUGGUUUCCUUUUUCUUUGUCCAGAGGCAUCACUACUUCUUAUAUUAUUUGUUGUGUUCUGAAGAGACUGGGGGUUCUGCAAAUGCUGGAAGGCACUUGCUGAUGCAAAGUCACAUUCACUUAAUACAACUGUAAAAAGUACAAUGAAAGCUCCCACUUCCAUAUCAUGUUAUUUUCUACUCUCAGCAGGCAACUGGCCUCUUUCCCCCCACCCUUGAAUGUGUAGCAUGGCCUCUCUUGGAUUAGAGAGAGAUGGAGAUAGUGAAGCAGUUCCCUCCCACGAAUAAUUGGCUGUUUCUCCCUCUUCUGUGAGUUGCACAGCUACACAAAGCAACUCUCCCCCUCCUCCCUUCCAUGGUUCUUCAUUUCUCAUUUGCAUAUUGACAGCAUCUCACUGUUUUCCUGAAUGGAGGAAAAGAAGAAUUAGAGGGAUGAGAUGAGACAUAACAGGUUGAGAAAAUUAAAAUGGAGACCGUCAAGGGAGAUGCGCUGAAUGGGGGUGGGGGAAUAUGAAAGUGACCAAGAAUUUCUGAUCCUUAAAAUGUGCUUGUGCAAACCCCUUUCAGAGGAAGAGUUUUUGUUUUUAUCAAUGGGGAGAACUCUGAAGGUUGUACAGAGAGAAUGGCAGAGAUGGGAGACAAUAAGGUAAAAGACAAGCAGGACGAGAUGCACGUUACAGGAAGAGACAGUCAGUGUGUGCCGGGAAAGAACUUUGAUAAGACAUGCAGCAGGUUUGGACGUGAAUACUUCUGGAAACAAGCAUGGAAAUCAAACAACAGUUUGAUAUCAGGGACUUUUGUCAUCAUUAAGAGGACACAAUGGCCAAAGUCCCAAAGGCCAUAUGGUUAGGUUAAGGUAAAGGUAAAGGGACCCCUGACUGUUAGGUUCAGUCGCGGACGACUCUGGGGUUGCCGUGCUCAUCUCGCUUUACUAGCCGAGGAAGCCAGUGUACAGCUUCUGGAUCAUGUGGCCAGCAUGACUAAGCUGCUUCUGGCAAACCAGAGCAGUGCUCAGAAAAGCCGUUUACCUUCCUGCUGGAGCGGUACCUAUUUAUCUACUUGCACUUUGACAUGCUUUCAAACUGCUAGGUUGGCAGGAGCAGGGACCAAGCAAUGGGAGCUCACCCCGUCGUGGGGAUUCAAACCACCGACCUUCUGAUAGGCAAGCCCUAGGCUCUGUGGUUUAACCCACAGCGCCACCUGCGUCCCAUAGUUAGGUUCAGUUUAUUUAAUUUAUAAAUUGCUUCCCACAACCAAAGUCUGGAAGUUAUUUGGAGGAAUAAAAUCCAGUAAUAAUUAUGUACAAAUUUAUUAAAAUCACAAAAAUGGUUCACUUGGUGCUGACAGAUGACAAAAUUCAAGAGAGUAUUCCAUAGACAGGGAACUAUUACAGUUCAUCAUCUUGCUGCCACCUUCCAGACCUCCCUUGGAGGUUCUGUGCAGGAAAGGGCCUCAGAUUAUGAUCUCAGGCUCUGGACAGGUUGAUAUGCAGAAAGGCUGUCCGGAAAUCCCUGCAAUAUUAUGAAGGGGCGUUCUCAGAUGGCAUGGGAAGGAGCUACUUUUGCCAAAGUAACGCCCAGAAUUGUGUGUCAUUUCUGUUAGCAGGCACCACUUACACAUUUGUGUCACUGCAUGUGGCUACUUUUCACAUGCAGAGCAAGCGCUCUUUAUGUGGCACUGGGAAAGGAGAUGUCAAUGGGCUGGGUGAAUCUGCCCGCUGCAGUUUCUCUUAGUUCCUCAUUUGUUCAGUUAUUUCCACAUCAGUUUGUAAUUUUUAAAAAUAGGCUUCAUGAAAAUUUACCAGAUCUUAGUGUGAAUUUCUUCUUAUAUAUACAUUUCUGUAUGUAUUUUGUGUGUGUUCUUCUCAUGAAUAUAUGUGGUUUAUGCAAUUAUUUUCCUAGUCUAUGAGUAUAUGUUCACAUUACUUGGCUUACUUGUCUGGAGAACUAACUGUCUUGCAAAAUUCAGAGAAGUGCAUAUUUAGUAGGAUAUAUUGGACACUGGUAGAUUGACAUUUAAAUGCAGACUGAAUAGAAUUUCUUCCCCCAUCCCUAAUGUGCUGUUAAAGACCCAAGUAAAGAAUCCCACUCAUGAAGUUGAAAUAUUAGCAUACAUACGUGGGACAACACAAUUUCCUGUUUGCUCAUCAGGUAUUAGCACUGAGAUAGGAAACAGGCAAGGUGGCUUCAAAUCCUGCAGAGAGAUUUGUGGAAUUAGGGCAAAGCUCACUUUUAGUGAUGGAACAGUUGUAGAGCACAGAUUCCAUGUCUAGUGAAAAGGACCAAAUAGUGGAUGAUGGAAGACUCUGGAGAGUCACUUCCUGUCAGCAAAGACACUAUUAUACAGACUAUAAUGGGCUAGAGAGACAACAGCCUGGCUUGGUAUAAGGCUACCAUUGUGUGAUUCACAGUGUCUGUGGGGGAAACCUUAUCUUCUGCUUGUGCAGCUGAGCUGUUCCUCCAUAUGUAUGGUGGAACUAGAAUAACCAGUGCUGCUCCUUUUUUCUGGAGGGACGCAGGGAUACACACACACCUAAACAUUUUGUGAAUUUAAUGGGAGAAGAAACUAAAAGUUUUUUUUAAAUAUUAGUUUCUUCUCUAGCACGGUGAAUCGUCAGUUCCAUUGCUACCCGCAACGGCGGCUUCAUUUCCUGUCACGGUGUUUCUUGAGCCUCAGAUGGAAUGAGAGUACCCCUAAAAGCACUGAGAAUAACUAUAAACUACAAAGGAUUAACCCAACAGAAUCCCAGUACAAGGACUCCUGCUUGCACAAUGGGGCUUUCUUCCCUCCAUGUAAAAAAAUAAAAUAAAAUGGCCUAGGGGGUUGUAAAAAAUAAUAAUCCAGAAUAGUGCACGGGGGGAAGGGAGGGAUAUUUAUCCACCAGCCAAACAGGAAUGUUUAUGUAGAUGGAAUGAUUGGCAGAGCACAGCAUUGAAUUCCACCCAGAAAAACAUUUGCCAUUCUCACUUGGAAUCAUCUGGUUGAUUAGCUUCAAUGAACUCUUCUCUUUCACCCACAUUUCUGCAUAGUGGAUCAUUUAAUAGCAAGUGUGUUUCCUUGUCAGAGAAAUAAUUAGCCAACCAACUGAUUCCCACUAUACCAGCACAAACCUUUCCUCGCCAAUUAAUUCCUUCAUAGUUUUAUAACAGCACAAUGUUGACUUUGGAAAGCCAAGGCAGCCAGCUUGCUUCAAAGGAAUGCUCAAAGUAUUCUACUUGCUUCCAUUUGUAUUCAUAUACUGUCCUAAUGAGUGCAAAGAUGAUUUGCCCCACACCACUGGAACGAAGGCACAAGACUGUAAAUUAAUUGAACUAUGGACCAACUUUAUUGACAUGUCUGAUUUGCAGCCUUCUUAACUAGUUAAAGACACCAGCCUUGCCAACUAGGAGCAUAUCUGAGAUUAUCCAAAGGAAAAGCAAUAUUCAUGCAUUAUUUGUGUGGAGGGCACUUAAGCACUGAAGCAGGAACUGCUGGUCCCAGCCACAAUGUCACACCGCUAAGCUAGCCAUACACCAGACACUUGUUUCCUGAGUGUGGAUAUCUAAAAAGGAGCCCCUGACUCUUGUUACCAUCUGCUAACAUAUAUAGAGUUCCUUCUUCAAUGUGUGAACAUCCUACAUGCGAGUGACAAAUGAUCAGAGCUUUUAAUAUCUUAUUAGGAGUUUGGCAGAGGGGCAGACUCUCCAUAAUCUCUAGAUUCAGUAACGAGCUAGAAUGUGAGAAAACUCAUAAGCAAAGUUUGGUUAAUUAAAACUCAGCCAAGCGCUGUUGCAUUCAGUUUAGGAUCACAAGCCCAGGCAGCUUCACAUAGCUAGCCAGCAAUGAGCCAAGGCAUUAAUAUGACAAAAGGUGUUGGUGACACUUUUCAUCAAAAAGGAAUCCUUGGGCCUGAGCAGAUAGAGGCUGACAACGUGACAGAGUGUGUAUAUGAAGUGAAAGAGGAGUGUCUUUGGCAGAGGCUUGGGUCUUGAACAAGGUGUGCUGGGAACAAAAAAGAAGAACAAGGACAAAACCAUCUUGGCUGUGACCAGAGAAGGGACCGGAAGCCAUGACUGCUGGUUUGGCCUCAAGCUGGCUGAGCUUUUGUUAAGUAUAAUUGGUUUAAUUCACACUGAAAUGGGAAUGCCUGUGUAUUGGUGAAAAGGUUUAACAAGGGGAUGGAGUCAGUUUUCAUGCAUCCAGUCAUUUCAAACUGCACAGUAUUAUGACAUGAUAUUUUAUUUUCACUUAUAUAUUUAAAAACAUUUAUAAACUGCUUAAUAUUUGAAAAUCUCUCAGCAGUAUAUUUUUAUCUCUUCUGUUGAAUAGCUUGAGUGUUGUCCGGAUUAGAUAAUGCAAAUCUUAAUAUUAAUUUAUAAGGGUGGAAACUCCCUGGGCAAAGAUAACAUGACCAACCAGAGUGAAGCCAAAGACAGACUGCUGUCUCUACCUAGUUCUCAGAUCACAGAAGUUACAUGCCAUUUGUUGGAAAGCUAUCAAAGCUAUCAAAUUCAUUUUAAAUUGGUAUAUAACAUGCAUGUACAGAAAUAUAGCCCGUAUGCCAGUACAAGUGUUUAACAAGUGUUCAUGGGGUUUAUAAGCAUUGAUUUUUACAUGUGGCUUUUCUUUGUGUACAUGGGUAGGAGUUCAUGUCAAUUCUGCUUCUUUAAGACAGGCCUAUAUGAAAAGGAAAGCGUUGGCAUUAGAACUGACUACAGUAAGGACGAUCACCAGGAGUGAUAUUAGAAAAUUCAUUUCAGCAUUUUAGGACAGGAACACCCACCCACACACCUCACUAUGGUACAUUGAGAAGCUGUAGCCAAACUCUGAUAGCACGACAAAAAAACAGCUGGUGAGGAAUGGGGAAGCCUUUCAAACACACAACCCCAUCAAAGUCAAGGGUGAUCAAAGGUUAGGCAAAGGGAAGGCACCACCUCAGGAGAUUUCAGGGGCAGUGAAUUUAAGAUAGCUUUCCAAAAUCUGUGAAGUGCCAACCUGUGUACAGCAUAUGGUAGCCAGCUCUUACAUGAACAAAACAUUGAUUUCAGUGAGCCUUGGAAGUGUGUUUAGCACUUAAUAAUGACCGUUAUGGUGCAAUAUCCUCACAUCUAGGGUGGCACUACACAUGAGUGUGCUCAUAUGCACACAUGCCUGUAUGGUUGGUGUCAGGAAUGAGCCAGCUCGAAGUGAAGGUUUGCAGCCAACUGCAGAAAGCAGCCAGGAACAGAGAAGCUUACAUGUUAGUGAGGCAAGGGAGAGCUGGCAGCUGCAGACUUCGGCGCUUCCUGACCUUGACGGGAGGGCUGAUAAGACAGUAGCUGAGAGCAGGCUAGAAGGUAGCCAAAGCUCUCAGGAAGCACAAACAGGAGCGAAUAGACUCAGAGACAGCCUCUUUGAACAGGAAGAGUUUGGAGCUGAUCCACUAAGUCAGAAGAGUCGGCGAAUGGGAGCGCUGCUAGAUAGGAAGCAAAACAAGAGACGUAAAGGUUGUAAGUUCAAUAUCUUAUGUAGAUGCCGGAAGCAGUCUUCAGAAGGGUUAUCUUGAGUCAUGAUGCCGGAGGCUUUGUUUGAGUUGUCCGGAGCUUUCUGUUUGUUUUUGCAAUAAAGCCUCCUUUUUAAUUACCUACGUUUACUGUGUUAUCAAGUAGGGAACCUGGACUCCUGACAGUUGGUGACAUUUUAGAGAAGGAAGAAAGAAGUGGACUUGAGAUAAGCUCUGUAUUGCACUAAUGCAGAGUUAAUGCAAAAAAUGAGUGAUAAUCAAAGGCAGAAAUAUCACCCAAUCUAAGCCUCUGUUGUGCUCACAUUGGUAGGGUAUGAUACACGUGUGGAGCGGAGGGCGACUUUUUCCUUUUUUAAAUUGGUCAUCCAUUGGCUCCCCCCAUUUCCCCUCCCAUUCAUCCUAAUGGGAGAAUGAAUAAGGAUACCACCUCCAGAAUGCUCAAUUCCAGGGGAGUAUUGCAGGGAAUGGAAGGGUAGGACUGCAGUCUUAGCCUCUUUACAAACAAUAACCUUAAACAUGUGUAAUGCUUUGAAGAGUUAUGGCCUCUGCAGACCCUCCAAGUGUCCCCAUUUUCCAGGGACAGUCCCAGAUUUACAGAAGCCGUCCCGAUUUAAGAUUUGAUCCCAGAAUGUCCUGCUUUUCCUUAGGGCAUCCCUAUUUUCAUCAGAAAAAUGUUGGCGGGGACAUCUCUACUUUUAUCAGAGAAAUGUUGGAGGGUAUGUGACUGUGUGGUAUUCAAUGUGCCUCUUUCAUCCUCAUAUAAAACAUUAUGAGGACUAGGUAGGUAGACAACUUGAGGAUUUUAUGGUCCGGCAGCAAGUUAAGGCCAUAUUGUACCAAGCACAUUGCAAUGGCUUCAUGAUUAGUAGGCAAACAAUAUCAUUCCUUUCAUUAUAUAUGGCUGCUGUUCCUGCUAUUCGUCUCGCUCCCCCAAACAAAUUACUUCAACAACACAAGACUAUGACAGAUCUUGAAAGUUCUGGUUUAUAGAAGUGUGCUUUUAUUUGCUAUUUUCCAUAUAAGAUUUCACUUGAUGUGUGUUGAUCAUGUAAUGCAUAUAGUCAUAACACCAUAUAUUAUAUUUUAAAUGAAGGUUUAUGCUAAGAAAAACUGGGGGGGCACAUUGUCUGCUUUGUUUGCCUAAUACAUAUUGUGUUGUUAAAAGAAGUAUCUGAGAAGAUACUGGCAGGGGAGAGCAACAUCACAUCCCAAGAAUCCCACAAAAGGGCAGUCAAGUCCACCAGACAUGGAGCUUUCUCAUUACAGUGUAAGUAAAUAUGCAUUCGUUAGCUUGUUCCCACUGUGACUUUCAUUUCUAUGGCUUCUUUUUAGGGGGGGGGACCCUUUCUUGGGGAAAAAACUGCAUAGCAGUGACCCUGGGUCUUUUGUGCUUGCAGAAAUCUGAAGGGGAAAAAACAUGAGAUUGACUUUUUUUCUUUGUGUCGGCAGCAAAAGCUGGAUGUGUCUCUAGCUAUUAUUUGCACAAAGAGGUUUAAAUGAAGGGAUGGACCACUAAGAAAUUUGGCUGCAUUUUGGGAAAUGUUCUGUAGCAAAUUUUCAUUGAUGUUUAUGUACUUUAAAAAAAUGUUGACAACUUGCGGUGGGUGGCAUCAAGACUGCAACCAGUGUCUUCCUGACUCCUCAAUCCUGAUACCAGAGAUUAAAUGCCAUCAAUACAUAUGGCAGGCAGAAUAUUGUAUUCAUUUACUACAUUUAUAUCCCACAUGUUCUUCUAAAGGAACCCAGGGAAGGCAAAUAUAUCAAUACAAAAACAGUACGAUGGAAGUUAAAAACUCCUAGGUUGGAUGUAAAGACAUCAAAGAAGCAUUUCAGUUAAACACGUUGUAAACUUUGUAUGAGAAAUCAUGCAUGGAACUCCACAGUGCCAUCUGGUGCCACAGUGUUAUACUGAAUAUACAACACAUAUAAAAUGUUUUUUUCUUUAUCAAUACAGUAGAAAAAGGUAAAGGUACCCCUGCCCGUACGGGCCAGUCGUGUCCGACUCUAGGGUUGCGCGCUCAUCUCGCUUAAGAGGCCGGGAGCCGGCCCCAUCCGAGGACACUUCCGAGUCACGUGGCCAGCGUGACGAAGCUGCAGCUGGCGAGCCAGCACCAGCGCAGUGCAGCGCACGGAAACGCCGUUUACCUUCCCCCUAGAAAGCGGUACCUAUUUAUCUACUUGCACUUGGGGGUGCUUUCGAACUGCUAGGUGGGCAGGAGCUGGGACCGAAUGACGGUAGCUCACCCCACCGCGGGGAUUCGAACCGCCGACCUUCCGAUCAGCAAGUCCUAGGCACUGAGGUUUUACCCACAGCGCCACCCACGUCCCCAUCAAUACAGUGGUACCUCGGGUUAUAUACGCUUCAGGUUACAUACGCUUCAGGUUACAGACUCCGCUAACCCAGAAAUAGUGCUUCAGGUUAAGAACUUUGCUUCAGGAUGAGAACAGAAAUCGUGCUCCGGCGGUGCAGCGGCAGCAGGAGGCCCCAUUAGCUAAAGUGGUGCUUCAGGUUAAGAACAGUUUCAGGUUAAGAAUGGAUCUCCGGAACGAAUUAAGUACUUAACCCGAGGUACCACUGUAUAGCUGAGUCCCUAGAAACCAUUGCCUACUCUCAAAACUAAUAAUUUCAGUGUUGCCAGGGAUAGGAGUUUUAGUCAUAAAAUGCCUGGAAAAAUAGAAAUAAUUUAAUAUCUAUCUGAAAAGUUAAUAAUGAAGGAGACUGACAGAUUUUAAUAGAGAGGGCAUUCCACAAAUGGGGAACCACUGCUCCUGGGUUGUUAGAGCAGGAAAGGAUAUGUCUAGUGAUGGGCUUUGUGUUCUCAAAUUUCUGUGGUGCCCUGUGCAACACUCAAAUUGGCACUUUUCGCCUCUCAUGCUGUGUUCUACAGCAUUGUUUUGGACAAGUUGUGUGAGUCUAAAACUGCCUCUGACAUGUCUCCCUUAUCCCAGUAUGUAUCCUGCAUUUCACUUUCAUGCUGAAGCAGAGAACUAAAAGCGCCAUAACUUCUAAGUGAUUACAGCCACCGUAUUAUGUAACAGAUGAAACUUCCCAGCAGACAUCAAGGGGAGUCCAUAGCAGAGCAGAACACAAGUAAUCCUGCCUUCAGGCUGGAAAAGCCAGUUUGGUGAUCCCUGUAACCAAAUGCACAAGACUGGGGAGUGUUAGGAUGACUCCCUCCCAAACCCCUCCCCAUUCAGAUAAAUUAAAUAAAUCCAUGGCUAAACCUCUCUUCCAAGUUACUUCUAAUGAAUUGUGUUUAAGGAUUCCCAGAGCCUCUCUGCAAUUUAAUACAAAUGCUCAAGAUUUUCUGGUAAGUAGCAGCGUUUCCCAGGUGAAAUAACAACAAGGCUAAAGGAGAAUUAUUGAAAUAAAGAAAAUGCCUUUUAUAGCUUUACAAUCUCAAACCAUAAUUAGUUACUUAUUAGCUGAAUAUUUAGACAAUAAAUUUGUCAUCCAGUUUUAAUUGUGUUUAGCCAAGAACCCAAGGCCACUGCCCAAAGAAAAUUAUGUGUUCUUAUCUUGAAUUGGCACCAAUAGGCCACAAGCACAAAUACUACAAUCCCAUUAAACUUAGUAGGGCUUAUUUCUGAUUAGACUUGUAUACUAUCCAUCCUAUUAAUGUCAGCAUGAUAUUGCACCUAAGCUUCUUCAAAACAACUAUAGUCAUGAAAAUCAACCUCAGUUAGAAGAUAAAUCAGAUUCCUUUCUAAGUUAGAAAGGUUUAUCAAUCUUACUGAACUAUCUCUUUUUUCCAGUGGUUUAAACAAUCAUUUUCACUUUGUAACUAUGGAGACGCACUUUAGCCUUUACAGUAAUCUGCUGCUUUUCCAAAGAACUAAGGGGACAUUUUUAGUGGCUGUAUAUCUGGACCCACUGAAGUCAGUUCUGUGAUAUAUUUUGGACACAAGACUGUUUAUCUUUACUUGCCCCUUUAACAAAUCAAGCCAUGCCUGCUUGUUGAUAGUCAAAUUUGCCCUUACAGUCUUGCCAUGACAAUACACUUAUGGGUGUUUUCAGUCAUAGUGUGUAAAUUCUACUGUUACGAUAGCAGAGCAGCAGGAUUCUAUUCAUCUUCAUGAGGGCUGCAUUAAAGCAUCCAGGCAGAUUAGGGAGACCUGCACUCUGUUUUGGUUAGGGGAAAGUAAGUUUGGAUGUUGAAUACAGAGUAUUUUCCUCUUGUCAAUGGCUUCGGAUCACUUGCUUCAUCCAUUUUGCAAUGUUUAUUGAGACAUAUUUCUUGUCCAUCUGACCCUUCUGUGAGAGAGUCCUGGUACUCUAAAACAACAGCAUGUAACUUACAUGGGUACCGCUAUCUUUAUAAACCAUUCUCAUAGGAAGCAAUUAAAGACCUAAAACAAAGGACUCAUAGUUUUAGAAGUACCUGAGACUGUGGAUUCUAAUUUUAAAAAAAUCAAUGCAGAUUGCAUUUUUACUCCCUCCUAGUCCUAUUGUAAGACCUAUUAAAAAGUAGAAAACAGAUAUUUUUUAGUGCACAAAUGAAUUCCAAAGCUGCACUCAAUCGAUGCUGAUUAGAUUUACAGUUUAACAGCCAUUUUUAUUGUUUUCGCUGGAGAAUUUUCUCCUCGAUUAUGGCUCUGGACAGAUCUAUACAGUAGGAAUUGCUUUAAUCUCAUAUACUGACAGUGCAACUGCCCCAAUACAAUGCAAUUUAGCUCUCCCCAAGCCAGUUUCCCUUCUGCUUUCUUACUUAUGGCAAGUCUUCCCAAGGUUUGCACACUGACUGACACCGUUUUGCACACAGCUCGUCCCCAGCUGCGAUUCCACUGAUCAAUUCCCAUCUACUGACAUGAUUGUUUGCAUCCCGUUGGAUUAGAAAACUGGCAUGCUUCAAUGGACAAUAGAGCUAUAUAUUAAAAAGCUAUCCCUCUGCCACUAUGUCUCCACUCUGCAUAGAUCUCUGUGGAAUCUAUGGGCUUCAAUUACAGGCUUAUGCAGGAAAAGCCAAUGAAUGGAUGAGAGAAGCUUUCUCUAUGGCACUACAGUAUAUAUUACUUACACAUCAAAAGGAACAGGUGACCUGCACUGUUUACUGACCAGAGACAUCACUUACCCUGAAGGGUUACAGCGUUCUGUCAGAGUGUGAUUAGGUGCAAUUCAUAACCAGUUUAAUAUUCUUAAAUGGAGUUUGAGUUUUCCUGCUGAGCUGCUCCAUGCCACAGAUCAAAAUUGUAUUAUGCAUAUUCUUUUCAGAAGGAUCCAAAUCUCUACAGAUUUCAUAUGCUUGCCUAGUAGCCUCGACCUCUGCAAUAAAAUAAUAAUAAUAAUAAUAAUAAUAAUAAUAAUAAUAAUUGCAAUGUUGAGUCAUUCUUCAGGAUGUCAAGAAUUACAGUAUAAAGUGUUUAAUUGGAAUCAGCACUUUGGCCUUAGAAAUGUGGAGAUAGAAAAACAAACUAAAUAUAAAACUGUCAUAAAGAAAAACAAGUUGGGGAAAGAUCAAUACUUGGAUAUUUACCUUGGUGUAUGUACAUGUGGCAGAAAUAAAAUGUAAAUUACUUCACACUGAGAAAGGGUGAGUGUAGAAGUGUAUAAAUGCAGCACACACUAAGGCUGCAAUCUCCAAGCUACUUACUCAGAAUUACUCCUAUUGAUUUCAGUCUGAAUGGGUAAUUGCAGAAUACUUAAUAUGGAGGAAACAACCAUGGCGUAGUCCAUUUUUGCUUUUUUAGAGCCAUUUGCUAUAUUAACUGUCAAGCCAAUACUGUUUGCUGAAUUGGAUUUGCAACACAGCUUUGUGGGUGAAUCACCAAUAGACCAAUACAUUUUUAAUUAAACAUAUUUCUGCUGCCAGCUAAAUAAUAGAGCCCCCAAAACAGCUCUCUCCUAGUGUGCUAGGCAAGGGGAUGCUUGAAUGUUAGAAUCACAAUCCCUAAUUCAGCACUCAGAUUUUGUUGUUGUUUAGUCGUGUCCGACUCUUCGUGACCCCCAUGGACCAGAGCAUGCCAGGCACUCCUGUCUUCCACUGCCUCCCGCAAUUUUGUCAAACUCAUGUUAGUAGCUUUGAGAAUACUGUCCAGCCAUCUCGUCCUCUGUCGUCCCCUUCUCCUUGUGCCCUCCAUCUUUCUCAACAUCAGGGUCUUUUCCAGGGAGUCUUCUCUUCUCAUGAAGUGGCCAAAGUAUUGGAGCCUCAGCUUCAGGAUCUGUCCUUCCAGUGAGCACUCAGAGCUGAUUUCCGGACCAUAAAAUGACCAUGGCUCAGCGGUUGCCCUGAGACAGGGACUUUGCGAAAGGCGCGUUGUACACAGGUCGCGGUGUGACUAAAAUGUAAAGGUGUCAAUUGCGCCUGGGCUGGUAUAUUAUCAUACGGACCAGCACCAAAGAGUUGUUUGGCUGAAUGCUGUGGAUCAGCCAGGGCUACUGCGCUAUGCUUAAAUUCACUUUCAAAAACCACAUACUGAGCCGGGGAUAAAAGCAUGCGCAUCAGAUCUUUCCAAUCUUGAGGUAGCAUUGUGUAACCAUUUGCGAUCCCCUCCAGCAUCCCUAGCACAUAAGAAGAUUUUAGGCCAGAAUCAGUAAUGGCUUUCCUUAAUUCUCUCAGAAUAGAAUAAGGAAGCGCCUCGUACAUAAUCUGUUGUUGUGCAGUGCCAGGGUUUGUAUAGGAGAUAGGGAAAGCAGAUGGCAUUUCCCCAGCCCAUCCAGCCUCUUCCUCUAAGGAGAGGAUUCCUUUCUGCCUAGCUUGAAAAAGCGCAGCGCACACAGCUCCUGUGGGAGAGCACGCAGGGGCUGAGGCAGGCGAAGGAGGGAGGGAAGGAGGAAUGGGGGGGUGGAUGUGGGCUGAGGCGUAGGGGGAGUAGGGAAGGUUGCGAUGGAGGCAAAAGCUUUGGGUAAGGUGGGGGAUUGUCUGCUGCGGCUAAAAGGGCAGGGGCCGGAGAUGCCUGAGAUCCUAACCUAGCGACGGCAUCUGCACACUUCUGCCAAGUGAGCAGACAAUGAAUCGGUGCCCUCGGUUCUGAGAAGAGGGUUGUUCCAAUCUUUUGCCAAGCUUCUGUUCCCAGAGAGCCUGACUCUGGGUACCAGGGGCACUGGCAAGCAAUCUCACUUAACAAUUGUUCAAUUUCUUUCAAAGAAAUAUGCGCACCCGCCACCCUCUGUCUGACUAAAUGGAGCAGCUCCUUGGCAUGCUCUUUUUGGAACCUUGUAAGUCCCCCCCCCCAUACUCACGAAGUAGCGCGCUGAGACUUUUCCAGUCGAGUGAAGUAUCGAGGCUGCGUAAAGGGAUCUGGCACGUCGGAAUCACGUCGGGGUCACCAGAUGUUGGGUUGAAAUAAGCGACAGACAAAUGGCAAGGUGUCAUACGGUAGGCAUCUACCGAGCAUGUCUCGGCGAGUCUCUUUUAUUGAAUAUUACAGCAUUACCACAUAUGUGCUUGUUGCUGAUUGGUUAACACAAAUACAAUGCAAGGGCAUUAAUCAUAAAGGUUGGGAAAGGGAACACAUGGUUACUAGUGAUUGAUAUUGCAUGACUUGAAAGAACAUAACAAUCGCAGUCCGUAGAUGUGGUCAAUAAUGCAUUAAGAACAGGUCAAGGUACACUGUUUCAUGAACUCAAUGGGAACUGAUCAGAACAUUCCCAGGCCCAUGCGCAGAGGCAGAAACUUCCCAGCACAGCACUAACUCACAAAGUGCCAUCGAAACGACCUCUAUAUUCAAAGAAGCAAAAUGGCUUAGGCCUACCUAGGGAUCACAGUACUUCCUCCCAGCUGGUCUUGCCCCAAUGAGGCACUUGCAAAGACUGAAGAUCCCCAUCUUCCCACAGCUCUCUAAGGCUCCUCCUUCUCUGGAGCAAUCUGAGGCUUCUUCAUCUUGUCUCUCAUUGCUCUGUCCUCCUCAUUCCUCUAUGUGUUCUGGGAAACCGGAAGGGAGGGGAGCUAGUCACUGCAGGAGGGGGAGAUUCCUGACUUCCUCACCAACCUGACUCAUUGCUGCCUCUUGGCCCUCUUCCCCUCCACCCUCUGCUUUUGCCUAUGGACUACUCUCUGCAAGAGUUGCUUCCUGCUCACUAAACCCAGUUACCUCUUCAGCUUCCUCCCAGUCGGCUCCCACUCCUCUGCCUGUCCACUCAUCGUUUCCCACCACCAAUUCCCCUGACUCUGAGCCUUCUUCCCUUGCAGGUUCCCCAACUGGUGCCUCCUUCUACACCUCUGCAUCCAGCCAGCCCAUGGCAUCAGGUGGUCACAGGUUCAAUUCCUGGCAAAUCGAGGUUGGGCUGGAAAUAUCUCCUAUUUAAAAUGCUGGAGAGCCACUGCUAGUUAGUGUACACAAUAUGGAGUUGGAGGGACUGGUGGUCUGAUUUUAUAUAAGGCAGCUUCCUGUGUCACCACUGAUAGGACUCACUUCCCCAAUUCCUUUCUUCUUUAUUUCGUUAUCAUAAACUAUUAAAUAUCGGACAUAACUAGAUGGUGCCAUCCAAAUGUUUUGCACUAUGGUGCUGUUGUUCCAAUCAUCUCUGACCACUAGCCAUGCUAGUGGGGCUGAGGGGAAUUUUAGUAUUUGUUUAAAAAAAAUAAUCUGGAAGAUAACAGGGUAGGAAAGACUGAUCAACAUCACUGAGCUGGAACCAGAUACUAUUUAAAUAAAGCAGAUAAAGAAAAAAAAUGGAUAAACCUUGUUCAAAUCCAGAUCGCCCUACAACUAUCUUAGCUCUGAUGGGUUUGGUGAAAAUUCGAUAUUUCUUCAAAUGUCACUGAAUGCGGAAAUCAUAAUUAUUUAAUUAUGUUUAUAGAAUGGGGGAAUCUCUCUCUCUCUGUGUGUGUGUGUGUCUUUGUCUGUGUUUUUUAUCUAAAUGCUGUUGAUGUAUGUGAACUAGAUUACUAGUUGAAAUUGGCUAACAGAAGGCAAGAAAGCAGCUGAAAGGUGAAUAAUUCUGAUUGCUUGGGACACUGGAAAUGACUUUUACACCAGUGAUAUACAUGCAUGCACAAAAAUGUCUCACCUGGAUUGUCUGUCCAUGGAUGGAUUGCUUCAAUAUAUGUAUCUACAAUUUCCGUCCUGCUGUCUGUUAAUCCAGACUGUCUAGGUGGGAUAUUAGUUCACAUUUAGGCAUUGAUCGGGCAGGGAUAAUGUGUGCCCAUGCAUCCAAGUAGAGGAUCAAGCCCUUAACGUGUGGUGCCGCUAGCCAUAAAUGGAUUAAGCUGCUGGAAAAGCGACAGGACCAUUGAGCAGUAAUAUCCAGGGAUGACAUAAAGAGGGGUGUUUUUUGUUGUUCUUUUUCUGUUUUGCUAAAGUAAUUUAUUACCCAUGAAUGGUGCCAAGCAAGUAGAAAUGAGAAGUGAAUCCCACAGAACAGACAGGCGCUUUUAGCUACAAAAAUAUUUUGUUUUAAGCAAAAUCUAAAGAAAAAACAAUCUGUUUUCACUGAGAUGGGCAAACUGUCCUACAUCUGAGCCUAUAUUAAUAACUAAUCAUAAUGGUAACCUAGUAGUUUGGUCAUCUCAUCCUACCAAGUAGCCAGAAGGUUUUUACCACACAUUUGGUGAAGAUGCAUGUAUUCUGUAUCGUCCUGACAAAUGAGGAUACUUUAUCACAAAUUUGGUAAAGAUUUGAAAUAUAAUGUGUGAUUGAAUAGUCAUCUCCAAAUUACAUAGAUUCUUGCUAUGCAUAUUUUCAGCUAACUUGUUGGCUUAUAAGUAAUAAGGUUGCUUGGGAAAUUCGAAUCAGGGGAAUGCUUGCCUAAAAAGAGGUGUCUUAAUGAGCCUGUGGGGUGCCUGUAGGAUAGCAUUUGGCUAUCAAAUAUUUAAUAACUGAAUGAAAGAUUGGAUGAAAGUUGGUGUAGAUAUUCAUAAAACCAUUCAUUGUUUCAUGUUCAAAGGCAAACUCAAAUCUCAUUGUCAUUUUCAGACUAUAUUCUAAUCUGAAAUCUGCAGUCAGCCUUCAAACACUACUAGAUUUACAUUAUGAUUUUUAUUCUUUGGUCUUGUUCUGAGUAGGCAUAAAAUUUUGUAUCAGUCCUUAGAUAGCAUCCUAAGGGUUACGAUAUGAAAUGUUUCAUGUUUCAUCCUGGACCUAUUUGUUCCAAAGUGAUCUCACUGACAAUAACAAAAAAAACCACCCAUGUUAACAGCACAAUAGAUAGAUAGAUAGCUUAGUGUCAAUUAGAAGAGGGAUGAAUUGCUGAAGAAGAAACAAAAGAACUGAAGAACACAUCUUCAAAUAGAUCUCUCAGUAAAUUGAAGUUGUCCAGAGGACCAAACAAAAGCCAAUCAGUAGGUGUUCGGAAUCUAAAACUAGAGAUGAUAAGGCAAUCAUCAUGGUGAAAGUCACAAUGCAAUGCCAAUUUUGAUUCAAGUUGUCGGCCUAGAAAAGAAGAGAAAAGCCUCAAUUGACUUUUAGCAGAAUUAAUCCAGAUUCUUCUUGCUCAAUUGGGAAAAAAACCCUGAUCUGACUCAUAUGGUAUCUUAAAGUGGACUGAAGUUACACAGAGAUCAAAAAGGUUAAAGUUUAAUACAGAAGUCCAAGGCUCUAAAAUGACCAAUUAGGCAUCGCCCAAAAUUAAGACAAAAGAAAUCACAGAUUUGCAUAAAAUUAGCAGCAAAUUUAAAAAAUAAUAAAAAGCAAUAAAAUGACAAAGAAAAAUACAGUGCAGAUCUUCCCCUAUCAAGGGAGAUUGUGCCCUGUGUGCCUGCUCUAUCUGCUGUCCAGGAGAAAAUUAUGAAAAACAAACUUCAAGGGCAUCUUGAUGUUAUAACUUUUUAUCCUUAAACUGCACUUGCAUCAGACAUCGUUCCAAAGAGAGGACUGCCCUCUGACAGACAUUGAGAUAGAGGACUGUUCCCUGUAAAGCUGGACCCACGGUCACUCUAAUUGGGUCAGUUCCCUUUUUUGCUUGAAUUGAUUGCUUUAUUUUGCUUCAUUCUGCUUUUACCUGAUCAACAGAAGGUGACGGGAGAGAGCCUUUGUGUUUUCCUUCAUGGAAUGGCAGGUUCCACCUAAGAUCCUUCAUAAGGGAGCUGCUUUCAGAUGAAGGGCUUUGAGGGGACAGGGACUCUGUUUUUUCAGCAGAGGAAAGGUUUUGUCUUGUCCCAUUCUCCAGAGAGCUUUCAUAAGAUAGUUGCUCUUCCAGAAGAUCUUUCUUGGCAGGCUUUCUGGCCUUUGAUAGAUAGAUAGGUAGAUGAUAGAUAGAUAGAUAGAUGAUAGAUGAUAGAUAGAGAGAUAUAGAUAGAUAGACAGAUUUACUAAUUUGUGUGUGUUUAUAUAUCUAGAUAUGUAUAUGUAUAUGUGUAUAUAUAUGUUUGUUUGUUUGUGUGUGUAUACAUUUUUCACCCUGUAGUCCUCAAAGCAGCUUACAACAAUGAAAUAUGCAAUAUACAAUAUACAAAAUUUAAAAGAUAAAUUAAACCUCCAACAUGUAAAACUCAAGAGUUUACAAUUUCCAAAAAGAAAAAAGGAAGUACGGUAAAAUAUCUGAGAAGCAUUCAGAAUGCAAGACCUCUUGAAAUAAAACUUUAUUGACCAGGAGUCUGAAACUCAGCCUAUCCAACUUCUCAUGGGAGGGUGUUCCAUAGAGAUGGACCCACAUCACUGAAGUACCAACUUCUCAUUGACACGAGUCAUGCUUCUGGGCCAUAGGGAACCACUAAUAAUUGUCCCCCUGAUUAUCUCAGUGAUCGACUUGGGGUGUGCAGGAUAAAUCAUCCUGGGUAUCCUGGUCCUAACUUAUUCAGGGUUUUGUACACUAGUACAAAAACCUGGUACCUGGCCUAGUAGUAGAUGCGAAGACAGUGCAGUUCAUGUGGUGGUGGGGAGUCUGUUCCAGUUACCAGUUUAGCUGUGGCAUCCAGCACUAGCUACAACUUCCAGACUCACAUGGCACAUGUUCAGUAAUCCAUUCAUGACGUUACCAACACAUGAAUCACACCAGUCAGGCUAUUCCUUUCCAGGAAUGGCCAUGGACUGGGGUGUAUGCACUAAGUACUAAUAUCAGCUUUGGGGGCAUUUUUGGAUGUGAAAUUAUUGGAUAUUUUUUGCUUUACCUGUUGAUCAGCUCACAAAUAUUGAUGGAUGUUAAACAACAUGUUCAUGGGGCAGUGCUUAUGCUUUUGUAUUAUGUAUUGUACUGCUAUAUUGAUACUGUUUUGUUUUUGAUGUGAACCUCUUUGAGCACAGAUGUAUUUAUGAGAAAUGAGGUAUAUAAAUAAAUUGGCAAUGACUACCAACCUCUGGGAUCUGAGCUAUAGAGUGCACCCCCAGGUGUGAAUUUGGCUAACCACAGCCCAGGCCCAACCCUGACAAAGUUACCAGAAAAAUUCUAUACCACAGUUACAUGGCAUGGAAGUCUCUUUGCACUAGUAUUUGGUGUGAGGACAAUUCAUCAUGGAUUAAAGGGCAGAACUACAUCAUUCAGGUAGUUUGGCCUUUCAUAACUGUUCCCCCCCUUUUUUUAAAAAAAAGCCAGUGUAGAUGGAAGAUGAGUUCAGACACCCCCUUUCAGGAAUCCUGACAACAACUCCCUGAGAGGAGCACAAUUUGGACCGGGGGCGGGGGGCAGUCCCUGCUUAAAAUAUAGGUAAAUGUGUUAAUCUGUUUGCUUCUUUUUCUGGUUUAGCUGAAACAAGAUUUCAUGCUUCUCAAACCUUAAUACCUCUGUGAUGUUCCCAUAUCUCCAUGUACCAUUAUAGGUCAUAUACUGCAGGUUCAUGAUAGUGAAUGUAAUUUAGCAGUAACUUUAAUAUUCAUUUUUUCCAAUUUAGAAUGCCUAUACUUAUCCCUUUAGAUUAGCUCCUAAUUAUUUCCCUGAUAGAACUUAAGUUGUUACUGUCCACGGACAUAACGUAUAAAUUAAACUACUCAUUGCUUUUGAGAAAUUUAAGUUAUUAAUGUGCUCAUCUCAGCAUCCCUGUUUAUUUCCUUUCAUUAUAAAUGAUUUAUGUGAUUCAUUAGAUUCUGGUAAUUAUCAUUUUCGACCCAUAACUCUGUUAUUUAUGCAAGCUCUGCUUCUGUUGAUGAAGUGCACUGCGAUUUACAAGACAGGUUUGAUAAGUUGGAUAUACAGGAUAAUGAAGCCAGACAAAUUAUCUUUAAAGGACAAUAAGGCAUGCUGUAUUUUAUUCCAAGAAAUACUGUAGCUGAAAAUAUAUCAUGAACCCUUUUCACAGAACUGGAACUACUAGAAGAACCUCUCUUCAAAUAAAAUCCCAAAAAGAAGAGAAUUACAUAUCUUAAAACAACAACACUGAGACUUUUAUAGACUAAACUAAUGGAUUAGUAUGAAUAGUUUUGAAAAUUUGCCAUAGGUGUUAAUUGGGGGGAGGGGGUGGAACCCUAGUCCCAGAGAUGAAACAUUGAUUGACUGACUGAUUGAUUGAUUGAUUGAUUCAUUGCAUUUAUAGCCCAACUGGAGCUCAAGGUGCACCCUAUCUCCCCUCUCUUAUAUCAUAACAAUAAAACAAUAAUAUCUAAUUCCUUCUGUUGCUCAUAAUUCAAAUCCUGCUCACAAAUUCAUGAUGAAGAGCUAUGAGAGGAACUCUUAACAUGAUACCAAAACACGUGGGUGAUAUCCAGCCAACUCAUACUCAGAGUAGACCUAUUGAAAGCAGUGGGCUUAAGUAAACCAUAUCUCAGUGCAAUCCUAACCAUGGCUGCUCAGAAGUCAGUCCUAUUUAAUUCAAUGGGGUUUGCUCCCAGGUGAAUGGGGUUAGAAAGGAAGUCUAAUUUAAGACAAUUGAUAUCAGUGGGUUUACUCUGAGUGUGGUUUAGCCAGAUUACCAUCCAAUAUUUCCUCAGCCAUUGAAGAUGUAACUGGAUUUGGUAUGGCAUAAAGUUAUUUAUAAAGAAAAAGAAUGCUCUUUCUCCAGCUAAAGCCAAAAUUAUGGGAAGCAUCCAGUUUACCUUUCAUCAAAUACUGAGCUAUUAAUAGAUGCAUUUAAUUUAAUUGAAAUAUGUAGUAAUCCCUUUGAUGCCUGCCUGUGGAUUGCGAAGACUUUUCUCAGCGCAUUAGACAAAAACACACACAUUACAAAUCAUCUUGCAUAUAUAUAUAUAUAUAUAUAUAUAUAUAUAUAUAUAUAUAUGCACAUGCACCCUGAGAACAGGCUUGACUGCAUACUGAGACUGAAAUCAAUCUCCCUGCAGUGAACAAGCAACAAAUUGCAUUUAUGAUAGUGUGAAUAAGCUAAAGGUGAAAAGGCCAAUACAGCUUUUCAUGCUUUAUCAGUAGUUUGAAAGGUAAUACUCCAAAGCAAGGCUGUUUGAGUACUAUGAACUUUCUUUUUAAUUAACUACUGUAUACGCGUAAUGGGAAGCCUGAAUUCUGCCCAUACAUGAGAGUUUUAUGGAAAUAGAAAUGAAAGUUCAGGCUUUCAUUGUAGAUGAAGCAAUAUCAAAGGCUUCUGGUUUUUUUUAUUUCUCCCAUUAGCUGUCUCUUUGAAUGGCAGAGCUGAAAAACAAGGAUGACCUUCUACAGAGAGAUGUAGCUAGCAAGAUAAACCCUUACCUGGGUAAAACUUAUAUUUGCUUCACCAGCUUUUUCAUUUUAUUUCAUUGUCAGAGUAAGGAGGUAAUCCUGCAGGCCAGCUGAGGUCCCAUUGGAAGUGAUAUCAGUGCUGGUCUGCUGGUGGAGAAGAGGUCCACAAGCACAACUAGUGCUGUGCCAAUUUUUUUUUUUCCUGGGUUCUGCCCUUCCCAACUGCCCUUCAACAAUUCAUAGGAAAUUACAUGCAAAUUAUCCAAGGAGGAGAAAAACUGAUGAAUGGGGUGCAUUAUAUUUUAUACAUGCACUAUCUUGUUUUCAUUGUGGCAAAGUGGUAUUUGUGAGUGUCCUUCCAUUCAUCCUGCAAAUCAUCCACCCAGUUGCCUGCAGCCUUCCUGGGUGCUUGCCUUCCCUGAAAAUUCAGCAGCAGCAGCUGGGCUUUCUUGUAAGCAUCAGAAGGUGGGGGGACUUCCUACCUUAUGCCCAACAGCUGUUCUUUCUUUAUUUUUCUUUCAGUGAUGUCUUUUUACUUUUAAAGAAAGUGUAGAUUUUUUAAAAGAAACAUAAAAGGAAGAGCUUCAAUAAAAUAAAAUAAAAACAGUAAGCACCAUGAUCAUGUUUUGUUUCAGUAAGUGCAAACUAGGUGGUUUAUUCAUAUACCAAUUGAUCAUAAGGAAACCUUGCAGCAGUAAACAUUACAAUUCUCAGUAAAAGUAGGCAUAUAAUCAUAUGGAUGUACACAAUUCCUGGAAGCAGUUUGUAAUGAAGAUUUGUCUAUUCCUUUCCCAGUCUUCCUUUCUAGACUUUAUAAAGAAGUGCAACAUAGGAAAUACACUGCGAAAGAGAGAGAGAAAAUAGACAGUAGCAAAAAAAAAAAAGAAACAAAACACAUGUAAUUUCUACAUAGCUAGAUAGGCUAUGUAGUCUGGCUGAUGUCAAUAGGCAGGGAGUUCCACAGCAUAGGUGUUGCAGCACUAAAAGAACAAUUUCUCACAAGCACAGAAUGACUAAGAUGCAGCAGCUGUAACAGUGCCAGCUCCACAGAUUGAAGCGGUCAAGUGGGCAUAUAUGUUUAAAUGCAAACAGAAGUCUAUGAGCACUUGAGUGGAUACCCCCAUUGACAUUAAAGACAAUAAAUUCCCGGAUCUGCUAAGAUCAGUGAAGAAGCACUUGUUCUUUAAGGAGCUCCAUGUGUAUUUGGGAGCCCCUGGACUAAGGUUGUUAUGUAUUUAUGCAUUCUUGUCAAGCACAGUGCAAAGCAGGUCCAAGCUCAAUAGAUGUGAAGCUCCUUGGGUGGUACUAAGGCAGUUUCUAUCAUCCUCAUAAAUACAGGGUUGUUUUGAGGGGGAAAAUGGUAUGGGGGCACCAUGUGCACUUCUCUAAUCACACCCCUCUGACAUGUUGCAGCGGAAAACCAGGACUCCUUGGAGCCUUGUGUGGUGUAGUGGUUAAGAGUGGUGGACUCGUAAUCUGGUGAACCAGGUUCGCUUCCCCGCUCCUCCACAUGCAGCUGCUGGGUGACCUUGGGCUAGUCACACUUCUCUGAAGUCUCUCACGCUCACUCACCUCACAGAGUGUUUGUUGUGGGGGAGGAAGGGAAAAGAGAUUGUCAGCCGCUUUGAGACUUCUUCGGGUAGCGAUAAAGCGGAAUAUCAAGUCCAAACUACUACUCCUACUCCUCCUCCUCCUCCUCCUCUUCUUCUUCUUCUUCUUCUUCUUCUUCUUCUUCUUCUCCUUCUUCUCCUUCUUCUUCUUCUCCCACAUGAGUCACAUGACCUGUGAAAGAAAACGAUGCCCAAAUAUGGCAUAGUUGAGGGGUACAUAAUCAUUUGGUAGUGGGGAUUAGGGAAGUGUACAUAGCAAGAAGUGUACAUGAUAGAGAAUGUACAAGAUGACUGCAAAUAAACAAAUAAUAAAGUGAAAACGCUCCUUCAAAUGUAUGCUCUAUUCCAGUCACUCCAUUAUAUUUAUUCCCCAGUUUACACAUUUAAAGGCAUGCAGAAGAAUGAAUCACCUGAAUCAAGUUAAAAAUAAAUUAGACCACUGACAUAAAUGGAAAGGCAAUUGUUUUGAAGUCUGACAUUUAAAACAGUGUUUGGGGACUUUCUUAAACACUUUUCCAUUUAAAUAUUUCCACUCCAUUUGCAAUGAAUUCAAAUAACUCAUUUAGAUUAUAAACGUGCACAAUGUCCAUAUUCUUUAGCUUGUGUUUAUCCUAAAAAGGUGACACAAUGAAUUAAAUAGUGUGCAUUAAACUUGGCACGAUAAAGAGAUUUCCACUCCCUCUUCUUGUUAGUCCAAGACAAGGAGGUGAACAGCCUGAUCCUCUAAAUGGACCAUAUUAGGGGACGCCACAGGUACUGCCACUUGGUGCUACUAACUGCAAAAGGAUUGCACCUUCCUGUUAAGCAAAGAGGCCUUCAGAAAUUCUUGCUGUGCAAAUGAUCAAUUUUUUGUGUUGGCUUAGAGGGUUGAUUCCACAUGCUCCUAUUUGAUGACCACAUGAAAUGACAGUAUGUCCUUUUCAGAGCCUUGCUUCCCACCUGGGUGAGCUGUUCAGUUUUUCCUCCCCUCCCUAAUCAGGUACAUGACUUCGACCUUAUCAGACACAUAAAAGCUCCAUAGUGACAACUGUAUGGCUGGUGGAGAUGCCUCUUUCUGUCAAUAAUUCAGUGUGAAGUGGAGGCAGAUUCAUUUAAGCAGAGAAACUAAACAGCUUCCUACAAUUUCCUGAAUAUCCACGAGGCCACUGAAAAAAAGCCAUACACUUUGUUCCAUAUAAAACUUUUCUUUGAGUUCUCCCAGUGUGGUGUAGUGGUUAAGAGCAGUAGACUCAUAAUCUCGUGAACUGGGUUCGCGCCUCCGCUCCUCCACAUGCAGCUGCUAGCCCACAUGACCUCGGGCCAGUCACACUUCUUUGAAGUCUCUCAGCCCCACUCACCUCACAGAGUGUUUGUUGUGGGGGAGGAAGGGAAAGGAGAAUGUUAGCCACUUUGAGACUCCUGAAGGGGAGUGAUAAGGCGGGAUAUCAAAUCCAAACUCCUCUUCUUCUUCCCUAGUGGGACACUUCUCUUUCACCCUUCCACUCAUGACCUUUCAAUACUCCCCCUCAGUUUUGGGGCCUGUUCUAGUCCCCAAAGCAAUUUUUCUAAUCUUCCCUCCCAAAUACCUGACCAAUUUGGGCAACAGUGUCAAUCAAUCAAUCAAUCAAUCAAUCAAUUGGACCCAGCAUGGGAGUCAGUGGACGGGAAUGCAAAUCGCCCCUCCCCAGUAAUCUGAUCAAUCCUCUGAAGAGUGGGGUGGGGGUGAUAGUCACCUUUCUCAGCUGAACAGCAUUGUGAUCCCCAAAGGGUUGGCCAAGAAGGAUGUUCCAUGCUUGCCCGCCCCUUCUAUAUGGGGAGGAGGGAGAAUGCCAUGGUGUACAAGCAAGGGCACAAAGGGAAGAGGGAAGAAAUUCCUACUGCCUGGCCCUGUUUCUCUUUCCACCUUUCCCAUUGUGUGAAAUAUCUAGAUGGGAACGGAGAACAAUAGGUGUGCAGAGUGAAUUCAAAUAACUCAGAAGGUUGCAUAUAAAAUAGUGCUAAGCAAGGCAUCCGGUCAGUAGAAUGAGUUUUGCUUGCACAAUGGGUCACCACUCCUCUUCCACUUGCACCCCCUAAACCUGUUUUCAGAGUUCCCCCACCCCUCCGUAACAUAUGGGGGGGGGGGAAGUGUUAUUGUGCAAGCAGAAAUCUUUGUGCUAAUCCUUGUAUUAGUUUGGAUAUUACCCAAAGUUAAUUGAGAAAAAGAACUAGAUGAUCAUCUGAAGAGGCAGGAGGGGAUGGUUUUCAUGCCCACAGCAGGACUGAGGUUCAAGUAUCCCCACCCAGCCCAGACCCAUCAUGAAGAUGAUGAUGACUGAUGAAGAUGCUGGUGCAGCAGUGGGACUAGGAGGAGGCAGGUUCUUCUUCCUUCCUCUUAAGAUCACUCUGGAAGUGCACAGGACAUUCCUGUAGCUGCUGAAAAAAACAAGAAAUCCUGUGAUCAUAAUUGCUCUGGUAUGAGCAGUUUUCUUACCUGGCUCCAACAAGCUGUCCUAGGGAUACAUACCGCUGUAGGUAGCUGGUAGGCCAUUUUUUGGAAGAAAGGUUUUGUGGGCCAAAUUCGGCCAACAGGCCAGCAAUUCCCCAUCCAUUUUGUAGUUCAAUGAACCUGCUCACCUCUCUCUUUUCCCCCUUAUACUUACAACCACAAAUUGUGGUUCGAGGGCCCAAUUCCCGCUUAGUGAAAUGAAGACACACGGACACGUAAUAUAAGGUUAAUGGGCAAGAAAAGGCCACAACUUUAUUGAUUACAGCAAGUGAAAAGUUAUUGGCUUAGGCAUUGGAUCAUGACAAUUGACUCCACCCACUCAGAGAGGGGUGAGCCUAAAAAGGGGGGGUUAUUCACCAGUAGGUGGAGCCUGUUGAUGCUAAUACAACUAUAAGCUCUCCCCUGAUGUCACCGAGGGUCGUGCCAUGGCCCCCCACCACACAGGCAUCGGACAGGAUCCACGACUGUCAGAUUCCUUCAACGGAAUACCCAAAAUGGAAGGCGUAGGCGAUGGCCACACCUAGCCCUUCCACACACCACAAACACAUUCCAAUGCCUAACCUACCCACCAAUACCAAGAAAGUUGUGACAAUUGCUACUAGGUAGGCGAAAAAACCACAAGGCCUAAUGCCAAAUGGAAAAAUUCCUACCAGGCCCCCUGGACAACCUGGGCGACCAACCUAAGGUCCAUAGCAAGGCCAAGAGAAAAAACUAAAACCCUGAGCUCUAAGGGAGUGGAGGGUGGGUGACUCGCGACAGGAAGGCAGAAAAUGAGGCCGCGUGGCUGGCGCAGCAGCAAGUUAAGCUGCAAACCACGCCCCCUCCAAGCCACCUGAUUGGGGGUUUACCUGUGGGCAUGGUGCGCCAGCCAGGUGAGUGGGGGGGCAGGGGGCAUAACGCCCCCUGCAUGAGGCAGACAUCGGGUCCCACCCACAACCCCUCCCCUCUUUGCAAGAGGAGAGGCUUUUUCAAAAGGAAGUUUAACUGAGCAUUUUUCUAAUAGUUUGAGAAUCUGAGCUACUUUAAUUUUUUUGGGGGGGGUGGAUUAAUGGACAACAUCUGUUCCCUGAAACAGUUUUCAUUGCAGAUUUUAAAAGAAAAUUCAAGCCAACAAAAACCCUUCUGAGAUUUAUUCAUAUAAAUGGGUUGUAUCUAUAUUAAUUAUAGAAGACUAAAUUCCAGGAGUUAGCUACAAUUGCAGUCUUCGUACUUGAAGAAUAACAUUAGAAUGAUGCAGCUGUGUCUUGGACUGGGAAUAGAAAGAGAAGAAGAUCUAUUCUAGCUAUCUGUAUUUAUGCCCACCUGUUAUUUGAAGGAAUGUGAGGAGCCAAACAUUGAUUCACAUUUCUCACAGCAUGAUUCAAUGUAAAGCACAGAUUAUUUUUUUGAGCAUUUUAAACCCUCUGUUAUCAAGAAGAAGGGCAUGACCUCGAAUCAUUCAGGCCUUGCUUGUCUGGAGGGCUCAACUGGACAACUUUGCUCUUAACAAUCAAUCCAAUGGUCGUCAUGGAAACAAAUGCACUCACCACAUGCUGAGGUACUCAGCAGGACAGAGAGGCCAAACUGUGGUGUAUGUGUGCUCAUGAGGGAGUGAGAGACAUUUAGAACCAAUCUGGUCUGAUUAUGAGGCUUUCCCCUUUGUUUCCCUUUGACUAGAAUAGGAGUAUAUUGAUUUACAACUACAAAGUUCAUGCAUGUGUAAUAAGGAGAGUAAAAGCAUGUAUCUACUAAGUUGUGCACCAGAUAUGGCCAAAGCCCAAGCCAAAUUGGGUAUAUUUGAAGGAUCCCAGAUGCGCUGGGUACACAUCCUCAUGGAUCACUGAAAUUUGGGUUAGACCGGCCCAGAGCAAUCUAUGACUGUUGGAGCAGGGCAUCAGGUAGAAAAGAGAGGCUGGCAAUGUACAAAAUUUGAGACCUAUUUGACUAGUGGAUUAAUUUUCCCAGGAGAAGGAAGGCCCAAGUCGCAACACUGCUUCCUGCCUAUCCACACUCAUGCAUUAUAAUCCCUAUCAUAUAGUUUGGUGCUAAAGGAGCUCUCUGCGGAUCUGAAACUCAGUAUAGCACUGAACUGUAGACAAAUGGCUUCUUAAAAUUCUCCAUCAUAUUUGUGGGCAGAGAAACUGUGUGAACCCUUUCAUGGAAACCAUUAGCAGUGGCACCAGAAUCACUUCUCCCUUCCCAGUAAUUAUCUUGCUGCCACUGCAGUGCUUGGCAGCAGUGAAAGAGUUGGCAGCUUGGACACCAAUUUGCAUCUUCUACAAAGUCCUGGACCAAGCAGGGAGGAAAGAAUGGCAGCCACCACAGAAAAACAGUGAAUAAUAUUGGGGGAAUGUCUAACAAGUGAUCUGCCUUUUCAAAGGGGUUGGGGUUGGGCGGGGGAAUGUGUUGUGAGAAAUCUUGUUCAACUUUAGUGAUAACACCACAGCACAGCAGAAGAAAAGCCCCAAGUUCAGUCCAGGAGGCAGGACUGUGAAAGGAGAAAUAUGGCACUCCUAAGAUAUGGUGUUUCUGUAAUGAUUCAAAUCAUCAGAGAUCACCUCAGUUACUACAUAAUCUUAUACAUGUUGACUCAGAAGUACUUCCCAUGAGUUUAAUGGGGCUAACACUUUGGCGAGUGGGUAUAGGAGUGCAGACUUUCUCUUUUUUAUUUUCUCAUUUUAUUUUUUAUUUCUUAUUUUUUAUUAUUAUUAAAAUAAUUCAGCAUUAAUACACACAUAUUGCGAAUAUACAAGCUUACAUACGUACAUUUCAUACAAUCCUUAAAAAAUGUUCAAACAUACCUACACUCAAUCCCACAGAUAAUUCCUUUUCCCAUCACCAUCCACCACCCCUCACCCCACCAUUGUGUUAGACUUCCAGUCUACUCAAUUACAAUUUCUUUCCAUUUCUAUUGCUUUCUUUCACACACCUUUAACCUAAUUUCAUGCUUCUUUUUCUAUUACACAUUGUUAUCCAUCUUAUUUAGUAUUUCAGUAUUUAAAACGGAACUUGUUUAUUCUAAUAGGAGUUCUGAUUUUUCAAUAUGGUUUUGCAAGUAUGCUUUAAACACCUUCCAGAGUGCAGACUUUCUCAACUAGUUACAGGAAACUAAGGCCCUUCAACCCUUUCCAGCUUGCCUCCUUCAUAGUACUUACUUUGGCUGACAGCAUUUUCUGGCUAUUUUUUCCUAGACCUGGACAAAUUAGUUUGCAGUAUUUCUGGGCCAAGUCAGCUUUUCAUGAGAUCACCCAUUUCUGCAUGAAGCAGCCAUGCUAUUUUAUUUUAAAGAAUAUCUGCACUGAAAUUUGUUUUUCAUAAUCUACUAUAUAGGUAUUUCAUCUUUUUUUCUUAAAACAUACAAUUUAAAAUGUAUAUUGAUACAUUUUUUAAAAAUCAAGAAUUGAAUUGAAAGAUUCAGGAAUAUCACACAUAGCUAAAUUUCAAUGCACAGGUUGGUCUGGCAGGUGUGUAUCAGGUCAUUUUAUACAAGAAUUCACAAAUGCCAAAUUCAUAUCCAUCCUCACAUUCCACCAUUCCAUAUAAGAAGUAAUCAAGAAGUUGGAACCUGAAAUCACCCUUGUUGGUGUCGCAGUACUGAGACUAAACUGAACACUCAUCUGAUCCUCUCCAACACUACCUUUCCAUUUCUUCCCCAGAUGUAUUUAUGAUGACAUAGCAAUUACACUGAUUUAAGGUUCCGAUAAUGUGACGGUGCCACUACACUGUUAAAAUUCACUAUGUGAGCAUAAAUUCAGCACAUCAUUGCAGUAUAGAUUUAUGCUGGAAUGGGAGAUUUAGUUGCCACCAUGUUUUCAUGGUAUAACUUGAAAAUGGGACUGCAUUGUUAGUUUUUAGGUUAGAGCAAAACCAGUGAUUUAAAAAUGAUUUCAACUUUCCAUGAACAUGGGUAUGAGAAGAUUUAUUUACUUUACAAAAUGUAAGAAGCAGCAUUUUCUUUGAAUCAUAUGAGUGGUUGGGUUUAGAGGAAGUUAGAAUUUAGUCUCAUUUGAAUUGAUAGGACUUACAUGAGUCUUGACUAACCUGUUCUAAUUAUUUAAAUGGGACAUAUAAACAACACAUUUCCUUUCUAUACAAUGCAUGGUACAUAGAAAUUAUAUGUCUUUAAAAUAUUAAGUCUAUAACUGAAAGAUAUGUUAAAAUGGUAUAGAUGAUGGCUCUGAUCCCAAAGGAACAAUAGCAAGCUUUGUAUGCAUAGUAGAUAUUCUACCUAGGGAUAUGUUGCACCUUGCUAAAUAUUUCUGCAUAUAUUUGCACCUUGACAAAACACGUUACUGCAUUUUCUUCUGGUACUUAUCUACAAAAUGAAAUAUGCAAUAUUCAUAUUUUUAAAAACAGGAAUUUCCCAUUCUUUUCACAUAUUAUUUGUAUUCUAGUAUUGUCCUCCAUUUAAAGAUGGAGGCUUUAUCUUGUUUCUCAUAUUUGCUGUAGAACAGUGGUGGAGGAAGCAGCUCGGGUGCCUGGGGUGGGGAGAGGGUGGGGUGCACCACGGGGCCUCUGGAGUCUGCCUGCCUCCUCCCACUCAGCCGCCCUACAGCUUGGGAUGGAUGCAGCCGGUGGACAGUUUGAGCAGCGCGGAGCCUGCGUGUGCCCAAGCUACCGCGUCUCUCCCAGUGGUGACACCCCGGGCGACCCGCACCCACUGCCCAGCCCCUCCUCUGCCCCUGCUGUAGAAUUUUGAUUGUGCAUGGUUUUCUAUUGAAAUGCACAGAACUUGCUCAAUUGGGCAUAAAUUCCAAUUAACUAAGGAGCGUGUGACUUUUUAGUGGAGGAAAAAAUAGACAAGUGCAUAUGAGCACAUUCUUUUCUUUUAAAUGAAAAAGAAAAGAAAAGUUGUCUUAAUUGCUCUUGCUGGAGGGCUUAAGUAUGCAGGCAGAGCUAUUUUCCACCCUUUGCCAUGGACAGUCUUGUGAUUCCUCUCCCCCUACCUCCUGACUGUGUGCUUAAUUAGAGUUUGAACCUCUAAUUAAGCAUUGUGCAAUGCCUCUGAUUCAGUUUGGGGCCAAAUCUGGAUUGAGUCAGCCUCAGAUGAUAUGAGUUGGACUGUAUCCAAAUGUUGGAUUGGGCUGUGAAUCUAAGUCCAGAUGCGGCAUUUCUGUUUGUCAAAGAUGGUGGUCACUAACUCAUAAUGCCACUCUUUGUGGUGAGUUCAUUUGUCCCUGAAGCAAUUUAUCCUUGUCAGUCCUUAGUGUUCACUCUUUUGCAUGAGCAAAUACAGCACAUGCAUCAGGGUCUUGCAGUUUUGGCAAAAAACAAUGUUGUGAUCACUGAGGAAGAGAAAUGUGCUUCAGGAGAUAUACAAAUUAAGUCAACAUCUAUGAUGUCCCUUCUAAUGAUCAGUGAUACUUUACUGUGAAAGUGAGGAUCCACUUCUCUAAGCUAAAAAAUGGUCACUUAAUUAGGCCUGUGCACAUAGCCUUGUUCUCUAGAAUGGGUGGCCAUCCUUUUUGGAGUCUAGAACAAGGUAGACAUGUCACUUACAAGGAUAAGAUGUUAAUGUUGGAAGUAACAUAAUGUAAGCCAGUGUGACAUUAUCACAUCGAAGCAAGAAAGUUAACAUAUACUAACAAUACAAUCCUAUACAUGUCUACUCAAAAGUAAGUUCAAUAGGACUUACUAUCAGCUAAAUGGGUGUAGAGCUGGAGUCUAAAGCAGCAAAACAACAAAACAAAACAAAACCUACUAAAAGAGAGAAACUUCAGCAUUCAUGAAAAUGAUCAUAUUCAAGGAAGCUUCUGACACUGCAAUGGCUAACAUUUAUAAUGAAAGUUUGAAACUCACAUCAGGGAAAACUAUGUUAUGAACAUAUAAGUAUUGCAUUUUACACCACACAUGUCCCAAACAAAUAGAGAUAAAUGACGAACAUAAAUUCAAGGCAGGAUUCUUCUGUGUUUAUUUUAAAUGCCUGGUAGAGAUGUUUGUUUGUUUGCAUGCCAUGAAGCCCACCACCUGCCCACAGCUAUGCGUUCCAUUUCCAUGGGCAUCUGGCUAAAUAAUAAACAGAUGUGCAUCAUAGGAAAACUAUGCCUCCCGUGACAUAUAGACUUUAUAGACAAUAUUCCAGAAGUCUGUAUAGAAUGACUUUGUUACAUGACUUAAUGAUCUUGUACAAAAUACAUCAAUAUAAAUAUGUCCUUACGACGGCAGACUCUCUAGAGAAAUCCUAGUCCAAAGAGGAGUUAGACAAGGAUGCCUAUUAGCCCCAUUCCUAUUUAACAUCUAUGUUAACUCCCUGGUCACAUGCUGCCGUGAAAUUGAAACCCACCCCCCUGUGUUCUCUAAUGGCAGAAAAGUACCAAUUUUAAUGUAUGCGGAUGACGCUGUUCUUCUCUCUCAAACCAAAGUGGGUCUGAAACGUGCCUUAGGAAAGUUUAGUGACCAAUGUAACACUGAACUGUUAACAAUUAACUUUGCCAAAACCAAAAUUGUACAUUUUAACCGCUCCUUUAGGAAGGAUAAUUGGAGCGUAAAGGGAAACGCCAUUGAACAGACUAAGACCUUCCAAUACUUAGGCAUUACUUUCUCUCAUAAUGCCAAAUUCUCAACACACUUGACCACAUCAGCUAUAUCAGCAGAAAGAAGUGCAAAUGCUAUCCUUAGAUUAUUCAGAAGGAAAGGAGCUGGCUUCCUCCCGAUGGCCCUAACAGUCUUUCAGGCAAAAUCUUUAGCCCAACUUCUAUAUGGCUCUCAAAUUAGCCCCUCUGCCAACCUUAAGACCCUUGAAACAGUACAAUCUAAAUUCUUAAGAUCAUUAUUUGCUACUCCUAAGUGUACACCUAAUGCAGUCUUAAGGCAAGAGGCAGGACUGCCCAGAGUGGAAUUAAAAGUCUGGGAACAAGCAAUAUCCCUCUGGCUGAAAAUCCAUUACAAUCCUAAGGGUCUAUUACCUUGCUUCCUGGCCGCAGUUCCCUAUCCUCCUUGGCUUAUGCAAAUAACUAACAAGAUCAAACAAAUUGGCCUAAACCCUGAAAAUAUUUUUAUUGGAACUCUGAACAAGGCAAAAGCUACUAUCACUCGGAGACUUUAUGAUAUCGAAUUACAACAAGAAGGCGCCUUACUCCCAGAGACGUAUAGAUGUUUAAAAGCUUGGCCUAAUUUUGUAGCUGCCCCUUACUUAACUAACAUCACUAACGAAACCUAUAGAUGGGCUUUCUCUAGAGCCCGCUUUGAGACAAUGCCCUCAGCAGUGCUGUACGGCAAAUUCACGCGAGUUCCAAUGCAUGCGCGUCUCUGCCCUUGUAUGUCUAAUAAGGUAGAAUCUGUCACACACAUUCUUCUAUCUUGCGAAUUCUAUAGUGAAGAACGAGUUCAACUUAUUUUACCGCUUCUAUCAAAAUUUAUACCCCUUCAAUAUUAUUUGGAAUCCUCCCCUGAAAUUCUUCGAAAACAUCUCCUGGAAGAUUCCUCAAGCUCAGUAUCAUAUGAGGUGGCUAAAUUUUGCACUUUAGUAAUUAAGAAGCGUAAAUCUCUUCUGUUGAAUGGCACACUGUGAAGUUCUCUUGUGUAACCUUUUUCUUUUCUGAAGUUGUUGCUGAUUUCUUGUUGUCUGAUCUUGUGGUGUUUAGUGUCACUGGCUUUGGCCGCAAUAAACUUGAUUGAUUGAUUGAUUGAUAUGUCCUUACUCACUGUAACAGAAAAAUCCCCAAACAUCCCCCUCCCUUUAAAAAUCCCCAUUCUUAAGAAGAGCUUGCAAGACAAUUAAUUUUGUUCCAGCCUGUUUCUGUCUUGAGCAAGUCAUUUAUUUAUUUAUUGGAAUAUCAAACAGGACAUCAUUGUGAGAAAGAGUAGGGGCCAAAUCCUUUUCUUGCUUCAAGAAUACUGAAAUCCGCAAGCAUGCCUGGAAUUUUUCUUUUAUAUGUAUGGGCAGGGACAUUGGGCUGGGGCCAGGGGAGCAGACCAAGACAUAACAGUAAACUAAUUCACCCUGGCAAUGCUUAUGUUUAAAGAAACAAUGAGAAGUGCAACUUGGCAAGCAACUUCUUAGACCUGGCAGAAUUGAUGAAAUAUGCCUGUUCAGAGAGAAAGGAGUAAUGGGGUGUUCCUUAUCUUAAGUGUGAAUGACAGACAAUGACAGGAACACUGGUGAUAAAUAAAACUAAUGGUACAACUUGUCUCCUCCAUGUCUCAUAAUGAACGACUUUAGUUUUAAUUCUACAUCCCCAUAUAUCUAUGUCCUAUAAAUCCAGCCAGUUCUAACCCAGACAUUUAGGUGUGUGUGUGUACACACACACACAAAUACAUAAUUGCAUUAACAUUUUAAGUGCUACAGAGGAGAAACCACUGACUGCAAAUACUACCACUCCCUGUCUCACUUUCAAAGUCACAAUCUGCGUGGACUUUUUUAUAGCAGGGCGAUAUUCUUCCUUUCUUUAUAUUCUGAAUUUUAUUGAUUAAACUACGUCAAAAUACAGGUAAGACACAAGUGGUAGAUAGAGAUGGACUACCAAUUAGCACAGUAUAAACCCUCCACUGGGGACGCGGGUGGCGCUAUGGUCUAAACCAAUGAGCCUAGGGCUUGCCGAUCGGAAGGUCAGUGGUUCAAAUCCCUGCAACGGGGUGAGCUCCCGUUGCUCGGUCCCAGCUCCUGCCAACCUAGCAGUUCAAAAGCACAUCAAAGUGCAAGUAGAUAAAUAGGUACCUCUCCAGCAGGAAGGUAAACAGUGUUUAUGUGCGUUGCUAUGGUUUCACCAGAAGCGGCUUGCUCAUGCUGGCCACAUGUCCCAGAAAAACUGUUUGCAGACAAACAUCAGCUCCCUUGGCCAGUAAAGCGAGAUGAGUGCUGCAACCCCAAAGUCGUUCGCGACUGGACUUAACUGUCAGGGGUCCUUUACCUUUACCUUUUUAAACCCUCCAUUGGUAAAGGUAAAGUACAGUGGUACCUUGGGUUACAGACGCUUCAAGUUACAGACGCUUCAGGUUACAGACGCUUCAGGUUACAGCCUCCGCUAACCCAGAAAUAGUACCUCAGGUUAAGAACUUUGCUUCAGGAUGAGAACAGAAAUCGUACUCCGGCAGCGUGGUGGCUGUGGAAGGCCCCAUUAGCUAAAGUGGUACCUCAGGUUAAGAACAGUUUCAGGUUAAGAACGGACCUCCAGAGCGAAUUAAGUUCUUAACCCGAGGUACCACUGUAGUUCAUUUUAACCACAGAAAAGCUAUAUAAGAUACUUUGAUAUUCCCCCAAAUUCUGUCUCCUCUGUUUUCUUCCAUGAUUGUUCCUCCAGGGAUGGCAAGGGGGGAGGGGGGAAUCAUCAAGACAAUCAUCAAGACAGUCCUGGAAUCAUACUCCCAAAGUAACAGUUAACGCAACAACCAAAUCCAGAACAACAUCUGAGGUUGAAGUGGGCUAGGAAUGCAGGGAGAGUCAUUAGAAUUAUAGACUUUCAGCUGACGCAUUGUUCUAGAUAGAUUUCUUGUCUUGAAGGUGUCAGUCUUAGGAAAGAAUCUUUCAUGUGUGAAUUUAUCAUAAAUUGUACAAUUAUCCUGAUAAUAAUAAUGACUAGUUUUACUUCAGUUUUCUCUUAAUUGCAUUUAUUGUUAUGGUACACACACACACACACACACACACACACACACGAAUUGCCUGGAAGUGGGAGAGGGGAGAGACAAGAACUAAAAUGUCUGCAUAACCACUAUAAUUCUGGAUGCAAACAAGGCAUAAAUUUAUUUUGAGACAGAUAAGUAUAUUCUCAUCUUCUUUUCUACAUCUAGGCAAGCAUUUCCACUAGAAUAAAUUCACACAUUUAGACUAGUUGCUUGCAGCUUCACUUUCACAGAAAAUUUGAUUAUUUGUGCAAUGGAAUCAUGUCUUAAUUAAACUUUUUACCUGCUUAAAACAUUUUUACUUCCCAUUUUCUCAUAAAGUUUGACAGAAGAGUCUUCCCCCCUUCACAAAAUCAUGCCCCUCCCCUCACAAUGAGAUUGCUUUUCACAUAGUCAUAGCAGGGCAGAGUAAGUUUGCAUAUGAAGAAAGGAAAUCUUUUAAAAUAAAACCCCCUCUUUGCAUAAAGAGAGAAAGGAAAUCACACAAAGAGGGCUGACAGUUUCCACAUAUUACCCUCGAAGUACAGCAGUAUGGGGAGGGGAUUAUUGAACUGUAUCACAAAAGUACCAAUUAAAAUGGGGUCAGGUAAAGGAUGGCUUUGGAAAAUGGUUCUAAAAAUAGCACAUUGUUAGUGCAAGUGUCUCUUCUUUGUGUGGAAACUGAGUAACAAAUCUUUAUUACUGCCAAUAUUGCUUCCAGAGAAAGAGAAGCUAUAUUCAAUUCCUGAGUCGUCAGCCAAAUUGAAAAUGAAUUCUUAUUGUCUUCUUCAUAUUUGGAUUGUACAUUUUGAAAUAUCCUCUCAACCCCUAAUCCUAAUUGCUGGAAGAGAUAUGUUUUGAUUUAUAAAUUGUUUAUAUCACAGUAAGCCAAAGAGGUGUCUUCAAGGAGAUGUAGCUGGACUGCAACUCCCAUCACACUUUGCCUUUGGUGGGACUGAUGGGAAUUGUAGUCCACUAACAUCUGGAGGGUACCAUGUUGAUUAUUUGGGCUUACAAUUUAAGUAUGCACAGCUUGCCCUGAUUGUCCAACCACUUGCAUAAAAGCCCAAAUAUGGGAACAGUGGUGAAACAAGUCCUUUCUAUUUUUUUUAAUAAGAUAUUUAUUGAGAUUUUCAAAAUGUUACAAAAUAAAAAUAAAGAAAGAAGAAAAUGCAAAAUAAAAAUGGUUAACAAAGUAAACAAAGAGAGAAACAAACCACUUCCAACAAUACGAAUACAAAUUCAAAAUAAGAAGGAAAAAAAACCCCGAAAAAAACAAAAAUACACGACAAACAUUUAAAAACAUUUAAAAACAAAUUCAUUAUUCUCAGAUCCUCAACUGUCAUUACCUUCUUUCUUUGACCUCCUCCUCCUCCCUUUCUUUGUAUCCUAGUUAUUAAUUAUCCCAGCAAAUCCUUUCCAUAUUUCAUAAUAUUCUGUCGUUACAUUACCUUAAACUGUUUUAAUCUUAUCUUUUUAUAUAAAAAACCUUGAAACUUAAAGCUUAAGUCUUAUCCUUACCAACUUCUCAUAACCAUAAUAUUCUUUCAUAAUUCUUUAAGCAUCUUUGCUAAAGCCGAGUAGUUUCAUUCCAACAUGUUUUUUAACAUUCAUCAAUUUUAUAAAACAGUCCUAAUAGUAAAAAAAAGAAAAAAAGAAAUACAAACAGAUCCAAUCUUCAUCCAGCGUCCCUUCCUCCUGGUCCCGGGUUUUGUCAGUCCUUAUUAUCCCAUUGAUCUAGCGCAUUAACCUGGCAACCUUAUAUCCGAGGCCCUCAAGUCUCUUCCAUGUCCCUUCCGCAGCUCUUCUUCAUAUUUGUAACUGUAUUUUCCCUUGUCUCCUGCUCGUGGUAACUCCAGCUUGGCAAUAUUUUUGACCCUUCUCGACAGAUCAGCCCCUUUUCCAUAUUCAACACUAAAUUCCAUGUGAUGUUUAAAAACAUGUUUCAAAAACCCUCCAAAAUUAAGAGCCCCCACAAUCCCAAACAUCUCACGGCCCAUUGCCAGAUUUGAAAAGUCCAAACAUCCCAGCAUAGGGGGGUCAAUCCAGCCCCCCAUUUCCAAGCCAAACCAAACUUUUUCUUUCCAAAUCUGACUUUUUCCAAGUUCAUUUGUCAAAUCCGAAAACUCAUAUUCCUGCUGGGCCUGUUCUGUCAGGACGCACUCCUGAUUUAAUUCCUGGGUGGGCUCCACAUAUUUUCCCACUGUCUGUUCAAAAUUUCCCACUGCCUGUUCAAAAUUUCUAGUCGAAGACGCCAUCAAAUUCAUCUUCUCAUGUAGCUGUUCCAGUAGGGCAUUUGUUUUAUAUAAAGCACACAACAGAGCUUCUGAAUACAUUGUCCUGCAAGGUCAAAUGUCUAUUCCCACGAUUGUAAUCUGUAACAGCUGCCGGCUCCCUGGAAUUAGUUACAGUUUCACAGUCUCCCUCUAGGGGGAAACUUCUAUUUGUUCUUGCAACAAAGUUUUCCUUUUUGAGAUAUUUUGUCAAUAUUUGUUCCUUUAAAAUGCGAAAGGAAACAGUGGAAUCACUAUGUUUCUCUUCUUUAGCUAUCUGUCAAAAACGUUUGUCUCUGGUCAAUGUGCUUCAAACGUCAGUCCUGACACCCCGCUCCAGGGUCAGGACGGUGGAAAGUUACUUUACUUUAAACUCACUUUAAACAGUCCGAAAAAGAUCCCCCUUCUUCUCCUGCUGUCGAAGGGGGGUUCCACAAUUUUAAAUGAUGAAAUCCAAUCCUUUAAAGGCGAUUUUCUAGGCUCUAGUUUACGUUGUCUUUGCUUUAUUCUGUCUACAAAAGAACGGAAAGCUGACUUCCUGUUUAGACCUUCCCGUUCAGUACCAAAUUGAAAAUAAAUUUUUAAAUCCAAUUCCUUUCUGCUCGCAAGUCCUUAUUUAAGGUCCAGUUGUUCAAAGUUUAAGUACUCACGGGUGCUUAUUUUAGAGUCCAAAUUGUCCCAGGAAAAAGGCAGCGCUCUCCGGCAACGGCUAUGCGGCUUCACUCCACGGAAAUAGCAGUUAACUCACAGCACCGCGCCACUUCCCCCUCUUCACUUCAGAGCCCGUUAAUGGGUUCCUUUGCGAGUUGGAGGGGGUGCUAAUGGUGCCCGCCGAGUCCCAUGGUCACAGGCUUCAUCCGUCUGUGAUUUUUAAAAGGGUCCCCGCUUCGCCGUAGCGGAGAAGACCCGUUUCACGCGGAGCUAGUCCCUCCAGUUCAGAGGGAGUCCGCCAUUGCCGAUGGCGCCACCCCGGAAGUCUCGAAACAAGUCCUUUCUAUACCCAGAGCAGGAUUGCUGUUCUCCCCCACCAGCCUGUAUCAGGAUGUGAGUGAUGCUUUUUCAAGUUUUACAUAAGGCAGGAUUUUGUAAGUAACUUGUAAGCCUUAAAAGGCAAUGCAGCAUUCAUUAAUAAUGUAAUUCUUCAGUUGCCUCCCAAGCGAAUCUUAAGUUUUCUUCUUACAUGAAUUGCUCUGUGUGAAUCAUUCUUUUAUUAGUCUGGCUGUGACCAUAAUAAACCUAUUGUUUUAAUGUUUGUGAUUUUAAUGUGACCUUUAUGUGCUUUGUUUGGUGGAUAUACCGUUUCUGGUUCAAAGAUCUAUUACAAAUUGAAAUAGAAUAGAUCAAAGUGGCAUUUUGUUGUUGUUGUUUAGUCGUUUAGUCGUGUCCGACUCUUCGUGACCCCAUGGACCAGAGCACGCCAGGCACUUCUGUCUUCCACUGCCUCCCGCAGUUUGGUCAAACUCAUGCUGGUAGCUUCGAGAACACUAUCCAACCAUCUCGUCCUCUGUCGUCCCCUUCUCCUUGUGCCCUCCAUCUUUCCCAGCACCAGGGUCUUUUCCAGGGAGUCUUCUCUUCUCAUGAGGUGGCCAAAGUAUUGGAGCCUCAGCUUCAGGAUCUGUCCUUCCAGUGAGCACUCAGGGUUGAUUUCCUUAAGAAUGGAUAGGUUUGAUCUUCUUGCAGUCCAUGGGACUCUCAAGAGUCUCCUCCAGCACCAUAAUUCAAAAGCAUCAAUUCUUCGGCGAUCAGCCUUCUUUAUGGUCCAGCUCUCACUUCCAUACAUCACUACUGGGAAAACCAUAGCUUUUACAAUACGGACCUUUGUUGGCAAGGUGAUGUCUCUACUUUUUAUAUGCCAAAGUGGCAUAUAAAUUUGUAAAUAUAAAUUAUAAAUAUGGCUGGGAAUCUCUGGGCGUACUGCUGCUGAGCUUCCAAGUUCUGAUUACCCAAGACAUGACCUACUUUGAAGCUAUUCUGAAAAAAAUAAGCAGCUAAGUGCUCUUUUCCAAAGUUCUAAGCCAGGCAUAGUCAAACUCGGCCCUCCAGAUGUUUUGGGACUACAACUCCCAUCAUCCCUAGCUAGCAGGACCAGUGGUCAGGGAUGAUGGGAGUUGUAGUCCCAAAACAUCUGGAGGGCCGAGUUUGCCUACGCCUGUCUAAGCCACCAGUUUCUUCCUUUGCAGCCUGAGGGAUUUAGUAGCUGAAUAUACGUUAUUGUGUUAGCCAGCAGCCACUCUUACUAACCUACUGCCCCUGCUAGGUUACUUAGCAAACUCAUAUCUGUUUAUUAUUAUUAUUAUUAUUAUUAUUAUUAUUAUUAUUACCAUCAUCAUCAUGCUACAAUACAGCAAAUAAUCUUUUGGGUACCACGGAAGAAACAAACUUUGAUAGUGAUAAGUUAUUUUAGGUUGCACUCCAAAUUCCCUUUGCACUUGGAGAGUAUUGUGUGUAGAGGUGUUCUUCCACCCAGUUGACCUCUGCCUAUGGCAUGACACCAGAUCAUUUGGAACAGUGAGACUGGUUCUGCCACACUGGGCACUGAGCCUAAGGGACACUGCAGGAUAUUGCAACUAUGAUGUAGUCAACUGAGCAGGAUGGAAGGCAAGAGGAGGUGGAGGGACAGGGGACGGACAGGCACCAACUUUUGGCCUUGUAUAGGGCACUGCUGAAAUUUGAAAAACCCAAGUCUUCCUCUGGUGCCACCUUCAUUACUUUGCUGGAGAGGAGUUCCCAGUUCCACCUGCUGAAUGGGUGAGCAAGCUGAAGUACCAUCCAUGGGAACCUCCACCAAUGGUAUCCCCCCCAAAAAAAGUCCAAAAACAGGGCAUUUCAGGGGCAAGGAAAGACUGAGCUGGCAUGGGAAAUGUGUUAUGCUGCAAAACAAAGGAAAUGUCAAGUAAAACACUCAGAAGGCCACUUUGGUUACUUAGCAUUACUUUGCAUUUCAGUAACAGUUUUAGUUUUCUUUAUACACCAAAAUAGGGCAAUAUUUUCUCCAGGUGGCAACAGUUAUGCACACCACUUUCAAAAGAAAAAAGAUGGGACUGGUGAGUUCAUCUCUGCAGUAACAAUGUAGGCAUGUGUUUUUUCAGGUCAGGACAAUUUAUGCCCCAUUACUGCUGAUUUGAUAGAUAACAUCAGGACAAGGGACCCAAACUGAGCUGACCGAAGACUGCUGUGCCUGUGAUGAUCUGUUCUUCAUCUUUUCAGUUCUCCUUCUUAACUUCAUUACUUUGCAUUUUGAUUUUCUCUGGAGCCUGCAAUUACUUUAUGUAUUGAUAGCUCUCAUCUAAAGCAGACUUUUAAUACAAAAGUGCUCAGCUGACUCACUCCUUUGAUGAAACAUCAUGCGUAUCCAUGUGCAAGCUGCUCCAAAAUAGGGGACGGUUAAGAUGCAGAACAAAUAAUUUUCAAUAUGAGAAUCAGGAACCUAAUCUGGUAUUCUAUUCUGUAUAUGCAGGUAUACAGUGUAACUUAAUUUAACUGUUGAUUUGUUGGAUUCCACUAUAUGUGGCAUGCUUUUUUGUUUGUUUGUUUACAUUGCCAUUUUAAUUAAAAAAAACCUUUGAUGAUUUUUUUUAUUAAAAUGUGGUACAAAAACAGGGGGGAAAGCUUUUUGACUAUAAUUUGGGAUCCCUCUAGCUGUGUGUGUGUGUUUGUAUCAAUGUGGAUUGCCACCUGUUUCUUCACUGUUCAUCUGUUUGGACCAAUUAUGCAUGAAAGAGUUUUAUUCAACUGAGUUACAUGCAGGGUAGUUCCAUUAAAAAUGAUGGACCUAAGGUAGACAUGUUCAUUAUUUUUAAUGGGAGCACUCUGAGCAAGACCAACAUUAGAUGUAACCAAAAACCUGUAGUCAUUGUCCUGCAUGUUUAUUCAUUUAUUUUUUUUAUUUCAUAAUUUUUUACUCUGCUUGAGAAUUUUUAAACUAAAAACCCCCAAAGCAUUUUACAACUAUGUGUGCAACUAUAUUCAGCUGUCAUGGGAUUAAUCAUCCUAUGGUACCUCCUCUUACCUUCUUGAGCAAAUACCUCAAAAUAAGCACUCAGGGUAAAACCAUAUGGAAAACUUUUUUUAAAAAAAUUAAUAUUUAUUAAAGUUUCAGAAAAAAUAAAAUCACAUUAAUAAACAAGAGAAAUUUGAAAAGAAAAAAGAAAAAUACACAAUAGAAAAUACAAAAUACAAAAUACAAAAAGAAAAAAAGAAGAAAAAAAACAGUUAAAAAUAAUUCCGUCUUUUCAUAACUUCUUUUACAUUUACUUGUUUCCCGCACUUCCUCAUACCUCCCUCUUUUGUAUUCCAAUUCCGGUUGUUAAUUCAGCAAUUUCUUUCCCUCCUUUUUAAUCCCAAUCCUUAAUCUUAAUAUAUUAUGACGUUAGAUUUUUACCUAUUUGAAACCAAUUUUCCCAUUCUUUUAACUUUUUUAAUCCUAAUCCUUAAUCUUAAUAUAUUUAUAGCUUUAAAACCUAUACAGCUAGAAGCCAUUUAACGUCAAUCCAACAUCAUUCUAACAUUCAUUAAUUUUGCAAUGUUUCUGUAAAUAAUCUUUGAAUUUCUUCCAAUCUUCUUCCACCGACUCUUCUCCCUGGUCACGGAUUCUGCCAGUCAUUUCCGCCAAUUCCAUGUAGUCCAUCAUUUUCAUCUGCCAUUCCUCCAGUGUGGGUAACUCUUGUGUCUCCCAAUACUUUGCGAUAAGUAUUCUUGCUGCUGUUGUAAAAACCAUAUGGAAAACUGAUGCAGUGCCUGACAGAUGGAGAGAAGUGCUUGAAUUUUGUAACACAUCACAAACAGGCAACAAAACUACCAUAUUUUUUGGUGUAUAAGACUAUAUUUUUUCCUAAAUUUCUGAAGUUUAAAAUAAGGGGUCAUCUUAUACACAGUGCAUAGUGAAUUUUCUUAAUUUUGAGUCCCCCAAAAUAGGGAACAUCUUAUAAAAGGGGGGGGGGUGUUAUACACAGAAAAAUAUGGUAUGUCCUGGCUUGAAUAUUCAGCCCCAAGUAGCACUACAAUCAUGACCAAUUCUGCCCGCAGCUGAAAAAAAUGAACUGGGAAUAAAGCUUACUAAGUUAUAGAAAAGUUUAGAAUGUGCUAUAGGAAAUUGGGUCACUGAGACAUGGAAAUCACUGCAGAAUGGACAUUAAAGAAGUCAACCAGAGAUAUUCUGUAUCAGCACCUCUUGCGCUUUUGCAUGGAUCUCUGCAUUCCAAUACAAUACAGAGGAUCAUACAUUCUGAGCUUUGUUGGAAAGAAGGGUGAGAUAUCAAAUGAAUAAAUAUAAUGAAGAUACCUUUUCCCUCAAAGGGCAAAUUAACCCUGUUAUUUAGGUUUAUUAUGCAGACAUUAGCAAAUCAAACUUAUUGAUAGUCCUAAACUCGUCAAAUUUGAUACACAAAUCAUACAUCCAAGUUUUAGGAGCCAAAAUGUUUAGCAGCUAGCAAUCAACCAGAGUCUGAUCCUAACAUUUUAUAGAUUGAAAUCUGCCAAAGAUGACAAAAAGAAGUUAACAAUUGAAGAAUUGAUACUAAACACUUUGCCAUUGCAAAUUUUGGAAAUGUGCUGAAUAUUUCAUACAACAAUUUGAGCAAUUUUAUAUAACCCUAUUUCAUGUUAUCGAGCUGGCUUUCUUUUCAUUGCUUUUCCUCAAGCGACUAAUAUUAAAAUGGCACUGCUGCUUUUGAAUCCAUUAGAAAUGAUUUCUGCGAUCAUUUGUGUAAGUGCAAUAAAACAGUGGAAUGGGGGAGGGGAACCGCCCACCCAGUCUUAUAUUAUUACUGCAUGAAAUUAGAUUCCAAAAUGAAACAAAUGGUAUUCAAAAAAAGCAAUAGGAAUUCAAACACCUGCACCUGUGGAUGUAGUAGGCUCCCCACCCCCAAAAAUAAAAGAAUAGGAAGAAUAAAUAGAACAUCACUCCAAUAAUAAAAUGAAUUAGUCACUCAGGUUAGCAUCCCCUCAAGGAAGCAAUGUUGGUGGUAAUACACUGAAUAUUAUCCACCUCAAAAGUAGUAAUUGUGGUGGAAAUUAUCUCCCCCUCCCACCCACUCUGAAGUCCUUAACUCACAUUCAUUGACUGUUCACAGCCACUGUUUGCUCACAUUCUCCUUUCUGCUUCAGGUCCUCCCCCUUCGCCAGUGUUUCUUCUCUUUCAGAAUGAUGUCACCCAAGGAGGGAAAACAAUGCUAUGUAGCCAAUCAGAUUUAGACAGAUCCCCAAACAACUUUGGACCAGGUUACUGAAGCGAACACCUUGCCUUAUAUAUCCCUGCCUGUCAACUGUGUUCAACAGUGCUCUCACUGCUGAGAGUACCAGAUGUCCCAGAGAUGUGCUUCGUUUGUACAAGAAACCAGGCUUUUAGUACUGCUGCUCCAGCCUUCUCAAAUCAAUUACUAGCUGAAAUUAGACAGGCAUUUAGAAUCACAAUGCUUAGGUACCCACUGAAGACAUUUCUGUUUAAGAAGGCUUUCCCUGAGCUGUGGCCCAGUCAUUUAAGAAACAGUGUAGAAACAGUUUUAUUGAUUUUAGAACUUGUUGGAAUGGUUAUGUUUUGAGAGUUUGUAGAAAUGGUUUUAAUUGUUUGUAGAACCUUUUAUUUCAUUUCGUUUUUUUAUCUUCUUGUAUACGUCUUUAAUGUCUAUAAGACCUGAAGUGGUUUAUUACUUAGUAAAAUAAAUAAAUAAAUGUGGGUAUCCCUAGUGGAAAAUAAAGAAUGUUAAGUAACACAAUACUUUUAAUCUCCCCUUGCCACAAAGUUGAUCCGACUAAUCAGAAGUUACUCCAGGACUCAAAACAUUUCUUGCAUCCUCUGCAAUGAUCACCAAAUUGAAGGCUCCUUUUGUUAAUAAAAAUAUUGUAGGCGCAAUUCUGUGGGACUGCCUCUCAGCUGAGAUCAGACAGGCCUCUUCCCUGCUAAGUUCCAGCACCUGGUGAACACAUUUUUUAUUUUUAUUUAGAGGCAUGUUAAGUAAUUUUAUGGUUAAUUUUAAUGAUUUUAUCUAUAUUAUAUCUUUUUGACAUGUACACCCCUUGGAGACUUCAGUGCUAAACAGCACAUACAGUAUAGUAAUCCUUCAUCCUGCAUGCAUUUGACUUUCACGAUUCCAACCAUUUAUGACUGAAAUUGUGCCAGUCAAGUCCCAAGCAAGGCAGAAAGCUUAAAAGCUCAUUUUGGACUGGGUCAGCUUGGGGUUACCUGGCACAAAAAGAGCUUUGAAGCUCUCCACCUUGGUUUCUGGGGAAGGCCUACUUAGCAUUCCAGCUCUGGAAGCUUCUUGUGACAUCUCAAGGGACAAUCCAAGUUCCCAUGAGAUCUCACACAAGCAUCUAUAGCCUUCCAGAGCUGGUGCAGCACAUAGUCUUGCCCAGCAAAAAAGGUGGAGAGCUUAACAGUUCUUUCUGAGCUGGAUAACCCAUGGACUCUCUGCCCUGCUUGCUGGUCAAGGCCCACCCACGUGACUUUAUAAGGCCAGGGAUGCUCUUUCUAUCCCACUUACCCACUAGCCAUGGGGUGACUUCAAGGGUUAAGUAUAAAAGAUGAGUUAUUACUGUACAUCGUUGAAAUAAUAUUAAAAUGAUAUCACAACAUUCUAAAGAAGUCCACCAAUGAGCUCUCAGUUCUAAUGUGAAUUAUAUGUGAUAAGUGUUUCAGCAUGAAAAACAGAAAAAGGAUGAUUGACAACACUUAGGUUGAGUGGAGGGGAGACAUUUUCCCAUCCUCUGAUACCCCCGGGAAACUCAACAAAUAAGCUGUACCUGAAACUCUGUGGAGAGUGAAGCUGCAUGGGACACAACUGUGGGCAGCCUUAGGAAGUACCACCCCCCUUGAGCCUGCACAUAAAAAGCAAGUCUAGAGUGACGCGGAGAAAGCUUUUGACAACAUUUCUUGGAGUUUUAUGAAGAAGAAUCUACAGGGGAUGGGGGUAGGUCAAGGCUUUGGAAACGGUAUAAGUGCAAUUUAUUCAGAACAAAAGGCUAAAUUAAUUGUUAACAACGUGGUGAUGGAGGAAUUUAAGAUAGAAAAAGGGACACGACAAGGUUUCCCAGUCUCCCCAUUGCUCUUUAUAUCGGUCCUGGAGGCCCUGUUGAAUAUGAUUAGAAGGGACCAGUUGGUUAAAGGUAUACAAGUCGGAGCUAAACAGUACAAAUUGAGAGCAUUUGCAGAUGACUUAGUAUUGACAUUACAGGAGCCAGAAUCUAGUACCAAAAGAGUUUUGGAACUGAUUCAAGAAUUUAGUCAGGUUGCAGGAUUUAAACUGAAUAAGUUAAAAACAAAGGUUUUAGAGAAAAAUUUAACAGUGAUUGAGAGAGAGAGGUUUCAGAAUGAGACAGGUUUAACAGUGGUUAAGAAAGUGAAAUACCUGGGGAUUAACAUGACAGCUAAAAAUGGGAACUUAUUUAAAGACAAUUAUGAAAAAUGCUGGACUGAAGUGAAAAAAGAUUUAGAAAUUUGGUCAAAUUUGAAGCUUUCACUGCUAGGCCGUAUUGCUGCGAUAAAAAUGAAUGUAUUGCCUAGAAUGUUGUUCUUGUUUCAAACAUUGCAAGUUUUGGACAAAAUGGAUUGUUUCAAGAAGUGGCAGAGAGAUAUUUCUAGAUUUGUCUGGCAGGGCAAGAAGCCUAGAAUAAAAUUUAAAAUACUAACGGACGCAAAGGAAAGAGGUGGAUUUGCCCUGCCAGACCUUAAACUUUAUUAUGAAUCAGCAGCUUUUUGCUGGCUGAAAGAGUGGCUACUUCUUGAAAACACAGACAUUUCAGAUUUAGAAGGUUUUAAUAAUGUAUUUGGAUGGCAUGCAUAUUUAAGGUAUGACAAGGUCAAAGCACAUAAAGCAUUUAAAAAUCAUAUUGUCAGGAAAGCCUUGUUUAAUGUCUGGAUAAGAUACAAGGACCUACUUGAAAAUAAAACCCCAAGGUGGUUGUCACCGAUGGAAGCGAAAGCUUAGAAAAAGCUCAAUAUGGAGGCCAAAUGGCCGAAAUAGUGGGAAAUUUUGGAACAAGAGGGAGACAGAUUGAAAUUGCAGAGUUUUGAAAAACUAAAAAAUAAAGUGCGAGAUUGGCUUCAUUAUUAUCAGAUAAUGGAGGCAUAUAAUUUGGACAAGAAAAUUGGCUUCCAGGUGGAAAAAUCAAAAUUGGAAACAGAACUGUUAGAACCCAAAACCAAGAUUUUGUCAAAGAUGUAUAACUUGCUGUUGAAAUGGAAUACUCAGGAUGAAACGGUGAAAUCUGCUAUGAUUAAAUGGGCACAAGAUGUUGGACAUAACAUAAUGAUGGCUGACUGGGAACAGUUAUGGACCACAGGUAUGAAGUUUACGGCAUGUAAUGCCUUAAGAGAGAAUAUUAUGAAAAUGAUAUACAGGUGGUACAUGACACCAGUCAAGCUUGCAAAAAUCUAUAAUUUGCCCGAUAAUAAAUGUUGGAAAUGUAAAGAAACUGAAGGCACAUUCUUUCACCUUUGGUGGACGUGCCCAAGGAUUAAGGCUUUCUGGGAGAUGAUCUAUAAUGAAAUGAAAAAGGUAUUUAAAUAUACCUUCCUGAAGAAACCAGAGGCCUUUCUCCUGGGCAUGGUUGGCCAAUUGGUGCCAAAGAAGGAUAGAACUUUUUUUAUGUAUGCUACAACAGCAGCAAGAAUACUUAUUGCAAAGUAUUGGAAGACACAAGAUCUACCCACCCUGGAAGAAUGGCAGAUGAAGGUGAUGGACUAUAUGGAAUUGGCGGAAAUGACUGGCAGAAUCCGAGACCAGGGAGAAGAGUUGGUGGAAGAAGAUUGGAAGAAAUUUAAAGACUAUCUACAGAAAUACUGUAAAAUUAAUGAAUGUUAGAACGAUGUCAGAAUGAAGUUAUGUGGUUUUAGCAGCAAUAUUACAAAGGAGUAUGUAAAAAUGGAUUGUUAACAGGUGAGAAUCUAAAGUUACAAUAUAUUAAGUUAAAGGAUUAGGAUAAAAACAAAGAGGGAAAGGAUUUGCUGAAUUAGCUAACUGGAUUGGAAUACAAAAAAGGGAGGUGUGAGGAGGUCAGGGAAACAAGUAAAUGAGAGACAAGACAUGGAAAGAUUGAUUUGUUUUUAAAUGCUUUUACUUUUCUGUAUUUAGUAUUUUUUCCAUUUUUUCUUUUCUUUUUCCUAUUUUUGUAACCUUUUUUUGAAACUUCAAUAAAUAUCAUUUUCCAAAAAAAAAAAAGCAAGUCUAGAGUGAAAGACUCAAAACUCUUCUCAUUGUGAAACUUUUUUGUGGGUGAGCUGAGUUUGUUUGGACCCUGGUUGAUCCCCAGAGGCUGAGAGGGAGGGUGUGUCUGAAGGAAAAUAUAUUGAUAUUGAUUUUAUAUAUUAAUAACUUUGUAUUAAUUGAGCAUUUUUAUAUGUAACUGUGUGUUUUUGUAACAUUUUGCUUAAGUUGUCUGUUGUUGCUUGUACAUCUUUGAGGUAUUUUAAAAAAUAUAUUAAGCAGUAUAGAAAUUAAAUAACUGAUCAACUGAAUGUUUUCGUUAUGACAAGAGGGGAAAAAAGUGUUUCCUAAAGCCCUGUGUACUGCCAUUUUUCAAUUGAACCCCACCUUCUUAAUAACCAAGCCUUUGCCUAACCUGAUCUACAUCCUAUACCCUUUUUAAAAUGCUGGCUCUUUUUAGGGGUUUUUUAUUGGGUUGUUGUUUGUAUUUUUAUUUUAUGUAUGUGAUCCUUUAUGGGAACACCCAGAGACCUUCAGGUAUAGGGCAGUAUAGAAACAAACAAACAAACAAACAAACAAACAAACAAAGGCAGAUCAGGAAAGCACUAAUCCAGCAAGCUGGGUGCCGCAGAAGGAAAGGACAGGCAGGAAGUAGACUGACGAGAUUUCAGAAUGACAUGCAUAGUCAAUAGUAGGUAUUUCAGAACCCUGGACAGGGAUCAGGAAGCUACUCUUUUUCGAAGAGCCCUUGUUCAAACUUUUUAUGCUCCUGAACCUGACUGCACUUCUCAGAAUCCACCCCACUGCUGAUGAGUACAGAGCUUAAAAGGGCCUGAAGCCCAGCACUCUGUCAUCUCUACAAGGGCUCCUGCAGAGCAUGCUGCCUGCAUUGUCGCAAUGGUAUAUUGUGUGGCACUAGCCAGGCACCAUUACAGGGCUGAGCAGGAUAUUUUUCUGAUCAACUGUGACUGAACUGAGUGCCUGGCGUGCUCUGGUCCAUGGGGUCACAAAGAGUCGGACAUGACUAAACGACUAAACAACAACAACAACAUGUUACUUGCUGUGGUCACUUGGCAGAUACGUGUGGGAAGGGGAAUGGGAUUACCAUAAAGCACUUUUCACGUCAACAAUGAUUCUGGAGACUUGUACACAGGGCUGUGGGACUCAUGGGGCAAUCAAUGUAUGGUUCACUUCUGGGUUACUCAGAGUUGUGGGCCUUUCUGGGGAUGGGAGUUAGGAAGUUGCCCUCUGCACUGAAGGGGUGUGGCAUGUGGGGGAGAGGUGGAAUUAAGACCACCAUUCCUCCCUGAAGGAUAAUUACACCCAAUUAUGACAGACUUAGGAAUCUAAUAGCAUUUUUGAAUAUUUUCCUCACAUUGAUUUCCCCCCAUAUGCACUUCAUAAGCUGUAAUUAAAAAGUGGCCUUAGUUUAAAAAUACAUUUUGUGUCUUCUCUGUUUAUUCUCAGUCUCCUCACACAAGAUGGAAUUCCCACAGUGUGUUACUGCUUCUACUUCUACUUCUUUCCCUUCCCACCCUCAGAAAGCAGAAUGCAUUCCAGAAUAUUGUUCAGGAAUCUGGGGUUGGAGGAAAUGAACACUCUGUUAAAAGAACAAUGGUAUGACAUUAUCAGCUGACUGAGUGGCCAUCCGAGCAGUUAUUUCAAAUUACAAAACAAACAAACAAAUACGAUGUCAAUUAAAUCUGGUCCUAAAGCUUCGUGGAAGCAUUCCAAACUUAUGCCAGCUCAAAUUGAACAAAACAGAGGAAUUAGAGAGCCGCUACAGGCCAGGGAGCAACCAUUGUUCUCUUCAGGAUGCCUCUCUUUCCUUUGAACUCAAAAGAUGCUUUAAGGUGUGGUGGAGCAGGCACCUGGUUGCCUAGCUACAAAAAUCAAAUUCUGUGAGGGGAAUUCUGGGCUUGUGUUGACUGUUAAAGCCUCUUCAGAGUCUUCUCCACUUCUCUGAUUCCCUGAUGAAUGCAACAGUCAGAACACCAGAUGAAAGUCAUUUCUCUGACAGAGACAGCUUGUAUCUAAAAAUAUUUUGCUUUUCUUGUAUGAUUAACUGACAGAGUGAACAAAGGCAUGACUUGGAAAUUGUUUAUCAAUAUUUCUCUAAGAGAGACAGCUUGUAUUUAUAAAUAUUUAGCGUUUUUGGUGGAAUGAGCAUGAAUAGGAAGCCAUUUGCAUUGUGCACACAUUAUCAGGCAAUAAGCUAAUUACCAGAGAAUUAUAAUCAAUUAUUUCAGUCAAAGAUGCCAACUUUUUCAAUAGAGGCAUUAGCUAAAUGAGUUCUGAUAACUGACUGAGUAUAAUUAAUGGCUAACAUUCAGUUUUACAUUUGUAUUUGCACACAAAAACAUAGCAAAACGUGUGUGUGCUUUGCAGCUGUGAUGCCUCAAACUUUCUGCAUUGCUUGAUUAUUCACCAAAAAAAGAAACGUAUGCAGAACAGCUUGGAUUACUUAGGUGAAUGGAAUGCUAAGGACUGCAUUAAAUAGGAAUCAUAGAUUCUUCUUCAAUUAAAGCACACAUAAAUAUUCAGCAUUUCUGACACCUGUCGUGUUCUAGUGCAGCAAAUUAUGGAGCCAGAUUGCCAAUCUUUAUAACCUGCUUGAGCUAUAAAGGGAAUGGAAACCAUGAAAUUCAUGGAUAUUGCUGGUCCUUGAAAGCUGCUACUGAUACAAAGGCAAAAAUAGAGUCAGUAUACUGAAACAAGACCAAAGAAUUGGUAGUUAGUUAAAACUUAUUCAUCAAAAUGCAUCAAACUGCUGAUAGGUGAAGUCGACUCAGUUCAGUUUGGAACUUGGUCACCAUUUGGCUUUAAAAAGGGCUAGAAAAAUUCAUAGCUGAUUAUUCUAUUAAUGGCUGCUAGUCAUGUUGAGAACGAGGAUUUAACAUCCAAAGAAACUUAUUGCAUUCGUGCUACUGCUUGGUUCUUUGCAAAAAACAGAAUGCCAGAUUAGAUAGAUCUAGCAGAACUCCUCUUAUAUUCUUAAUUGCAAAUAUUUUCUUUGGACUCCAGAAACAGCCACUUUCCCCCUUAGAAUUCUAAACUGACUUGCAAUCUUGAUUGCACUGUUAGAAAUGGUUUUAAGAUCACCCAUUUUGUGCUUCUAAGGCCAGGAAACCAAGUUCAAACAUAGCUCAAACAUCCUCCAAGUGGGCUUCUAGGGACUAGUGGACAAGCCCAGUGAUGGGUUCAGGCCUUGGGAAAUAAAAGCUUCAUAGCCCCUGAACUUGUCUAUCCAUCCUCUUGAUAGUCUUUGCAACCAAAACAAUUCAGCAGAAGCUUUUUAUUACAGGAUCUGCAAGCUAUCCCCUGCAGCCUAUGUUUUUCUUAACUUUUUAUUUAUUUUUUCCUGAGACAACAGAAAAACUUCUUUUGUAAGUGCUUUGGAAUUCGUUAACCAAAUUGAUAGUCCGAACCAAGUAAUUACAAUUUUUGGUAACAUCUUUCUUUGUUUUUUAAAUGAUUCAGAGUGGUAUUGCAGCUGGAUUAGAGUUUUAGGUUUGACUACAGGAGAUCCUGGAACAAAUCUGCGCUUAUCAAUGAAAUUUAUUGAUAGGCUUGGGUCAACAGUGGUAGUUCUUGUGGUCCCUGAAUCCAGCAGAAAUUGAGACACAGAAUCAGAGGCUCCGAAGGCACCACCUAAGGAGCUAGAUCCGGUUCAGGACUCUGAAUUGACUGCUGGGGAUCAGGUGACACAUGCACCUGAGGAUGUCAGACUGGAGUCUCCCAAAAUGUCACUCAGGGCCUCAUGGGCCCCUUCCCUCAGGAGCUAGAUGUCUUCCACCAUGCAUCACCAGUGCAGGGAGAGUGCCAAGAGAAGGGUAUGGAACAAAGUAGUGUCCAUCUUCCUUUUAGAGUUUUGGACCUUUUAGGCUCUGAAAUUUUCCACAAGGGGGCUUAGCCUGGAAGAGGUAGCCUGGUGGCAGAGGCUUCAAAGGCCUCAGUCUCCUCCUAACCUUGGAGUAUGUUGUUCAUGUAGAGCUGUCUAACCAGCCUUGCCUCAUUCUCCUUGGGAUUUGUCAUCAGACAAUAGGUAAAGGUAAGGUAAAGGACCCCUGGAUGAUUAGGUCCAGUCAAAGGCGACUAUGGGGUUGCAGUGCUCAUCUCGCUUUCAGGCCGAGGGAGCCGGUGUUUGUCCACAUCAGACAAUACAUUAAGCUGAGCAUGUGAGAAAGAAAUAAAAUCAUGCAUGUCACUUGCUCUUUCUGAAGGAAGGCUAGGUUCUCAAUAUAUUUUGAAGGGUAGUAUUUGAGGCACUUCACAUUCUAUGUUUUCUAUGUAUGCAUUUUGAAGAUCUUCCUGGAGAAGUGUUACAUUCACAUCAUUGUAAUUUGAAGGUAGAUGUGUGUUUCAAUUUCAAAGAGGCACUUAGCUGACAAGUUUGCUGCUGCAGAGUAUUGCACAUCCAUGUUGCAACACCAUCACAUUGUAUUCUAUCAGCUGCCAUAGGUGUUGUAUCAGAGCACUUUCUAAACAGUUGCUUGUCACUGUUAUGGCUCAAAGAGUAACACCAUGGGAAACUGAAAGGUUUCAUUAGCUAACAUGAUCCAAUUGCCUCCAUGACUUCAGCAGCAAGAGAUUAGCUGACAGACACUAAGCUAUGAACAAAGAAUACAAGAUCCAAUCCAACUUUGUUUGACAGCUCUUUGGGUUGUGGAGACCUGAAACUGAAGACUACAGUGGCUUUGAUCCAAAAAUUCUCACGAGUGAGAAGAAAGACCAAUGCUAAUUUGAGCCCUUUGCCACACCACACAAUACGCAGAAGGCCUCUAAUCACAUAAAGGGUCACAUUUGGGUGGAGGAAUCAGUGUUGCUGUUGUUGAAAACUGUUCAUUGCAAAUAAUUUUAAAGGAGGAAAUGUGGAUUUUAGCACUGCAUUAGUUUUAACCUGCUGGUGCUCCCUUAUAUAAUCCAACAUUUUAGUGUGUGUUAUAUGGCAUUAUAAAAUCUCUCUAUAUAAAAAGAAAAUCAUUUCAAAUAAUAAAAGGAAGUCAAUCACAGUUGAAUGAUAUCUUAUUUCUGAAAGUAAUGCAGUUCUUAGACACACAGAGUACAGAAUAUUUUUUAAAGUCACAAUGAAUUGGAAAAGGACCCACGCCAGUCACCUCCAUACUAAAAUAUGCCUUUGUGUUUUGCUACAGGUAUAAUAAAAAAGAAAAGAAAGAUGUUGUCUAUAUUUGUUACCGUCUUCUUUCAUAGUUCCUUAAGACAUUUUUUAAAAAGCCAGAGGUUGGGUUUUUUUUUGGGGGGGGGGAGUUGCCAUUCACAAGCAUUUCUAAGAAACUUUCUCUGUGAUAAGAAAAUAACUUUAUUUUUCACACAUAUAAAAUCUGGUCUUUUAAGGCUGGACUUCUACAACAUUGCCAUAAGGAACUUAACAUUCCAAGAUAUUCAUUACUAGGAAAGAACAUAGAAGGUGGCUUUAUUCUGUAUCAGAACACUGGUCCAUGUAGCUUUGGGAUGUCUUCAAUGACUUUCCAGGGUUUUAGGCAGAAGUCCUUGUCACCCCUACCUGGAGAUGCUAGGGAUUAAAUUUAGAACCUUCUGCAUGAAAAGCAGCUGCUAUACCACUGAGCCAUGAUACUUCCCUUAUUCAAGCUCUUACCAAGAAGUUAAAAGGAAGAAAAUAUUUAGGGUGGUAUCCAACAGAGUCGUUCUGCUGGCACAAGGGCUUUUGACUUGGCAAUGGAACUUUCCCUAUUUUUCCUUCUCCCUGCUUGCCUACCAUGUCCUGUUCUGAGCCUCCUUAGAAUAUUGGGAGGAGGUGAAAGCAUGCAGGGAGAGGAAGCUCUCUUGUGCAAGUUCUUCUGCUAGCAGAUGCCCUUCUCUAGAUACUAUUCUCAGGCAGCAACGCCCAUACAAAACUUUUCUGUCACUUUUUCAUGCAUUGACACACAAGUCUACUCCUUCCCAUUUUUGCAUUAAUGUGUGGAAUAAUAAUAAUAAAUCUGCAUGAAACUCUGCAUUUAAAUACUUUACAUCAUGUCUUUUUAAAUGUGCAUUUCUAAACAUCAUUUAUCUUGAGACAUACAUUUCUAAACACAUUUUAAUCUCAAAAUAGACCAUUUUAAAAUGUAUUUCGGUGUAUAUUUUGAGGUGAAAAUGGCACUGUAGCAUUUCAAGACAUGAUGGAUAUGUACAUUAUGAUCCCCACACGAUGUUGGGAUGCAUAUAUCAGGUCAGUACAUAUUUUCAAAGAACAAAACCCUCAAGCAACCCAACAUCCAAGUCUUUACACUCAGUGGAUCAAAGCUGUGGAGAAUAAAGUAUUAGUCAUCUUACUUACUGCAACAAUACCCUCUUUUAAGGAAAAGAUUAAAACCUCUUGGAUAACCCAACAAUGAUGUCAGUAAAGGGAAUCUCACAAUUGCACUUUAUCUCCUAUAUUAAUUUCUAAAUACCACCACCACCAAGCAGGCAUUAGGAAUGCACUAAGGUGGUUUACAAUAUGUUUUUGGUGGCACUGAUGGUUAUUUGGAUGAGAUAUCAUUGAAGAAGUAAAUCCAGUCACCUCAUCUCCUUUCCUUAGCCAUUGGGCCACAGAGUUCAUAUUGUGUGUGCCAGGAAAGAUGCAAGUAAGGCUGGAACGGUGGCAUCAGUUCUGGCCACAUUUGAAAAAAAGUUAAUGUCUCUGUUUGUAUAGCAGUUUGUCUAGUAUUUAAUCCCCCAUUACAUUUUUAAUUGUUUUACUGGUGUCAGGAAGGUGGUUUUGUGAGUCCACUGCACCAGUCACUACCACUGCCCUGAAGAUAUUUGAACUAAACAAAAAGCAGUUUGGUCCUUUAUAAGCUAAAAUCCACUAGUGUCAAGUUGGCCAAAAUUUGGAAAUCAGGACAACACAGGGAAGGUGUUCAUUCACAAUUUAUAUGCAUGUUCAUGCAGACUUUCCCUGUAUCCAGAUUUACAAACCAGCUGCUAGUCUGUUUACUUUCAAGCCUAACUGUGUGGAGUUUCCGAGCAUUUAAUUUUAUACAAUUACCAUUCAGGGACAAAUCUGCAGGGGCUAUGCUUUAAAUAGAAAUUUAAACCAUGUCUCCAUGACUCCAGUGAGUAUUCCCAUCUCUGAUCUAGUCAGGAAUCCAGACUCUCUUAUUACUAUAUGCAUUUGCAAAUUGAAGAACACCGCCCUAAAUGUCCUGUACUUGUUAUAAGCAGUGCCUUUGUGUAAACAUCAGUUUGUGCAAGCUAUUCUAUAGCAUGAAAUGAAACUCAAGGCUGGAGCUGCUGAUAGGCUUCAAUGGUGGCUGCAAAAAAAAAAAAAAAAGUUUGAAUUUCUUGUUCAAAGAGAGAAGCUAAAAUUCUCCAUGUCUUUAUCAAGUGUCCCCCAAGCCAAGAUUAAUUGCUGCUGGGGUGCCAGAGACACCUGUUCUGCGGCAUUACAAUAUUAUCGGAUGCUGUUGUUUUCUGUAAAUGAUUUAUUGAUUUAUCUUGACAAGCAGCUGUGCAUUUUCUACAACACUGGGAAUGUAUGCAUUUAACACGACUUAAUUACACAAGCUAUAAUAAAGAAACUGUAAAAUGGCAAUAUGUUGUUGUUCUUCCCAAGUAGCUCUGCUGAAACAGAUAGUGCCUGGGUCGUGUUCUUGCAUAAGGCUGCAUUAUGAAAUGGGGAGGUGGCAAAUUGUACAUUUUAGUUUUAACUAGAUGGAUACAAAUGUGUUUCGCUCUUACAAGAAAACGCAAACAGUGUGACAUGCUAAAUUUCAUAAGCCUUACAUUAGAGUAACAAUGAACUCUUCAGACACUUUCCCACUGGCAGUGAAUAAUAUCCCCCUGUCAUUUAUAAAUAAAAGGAUAAUUAAACUUUGCUUAAAAGUUAAUUUCUUGGCAGAAAAGGGCAUAAGCCAGAGACUCACACCUCAUUACCAUCAAUGGCUGAUAGCUCAUAAACAGAACAUUAAGCACAAUGCAACCAUAAUAGAAAGUCUCCAAGAGAGGUUUUUAAAUAUAUAUAUAUUUAGGUCUGUGAAAAAAAAAAGUUUCUAAGAUAUGUACAAAAGAUGGAGCACUUCCAUUAGCUCUAUUUGUUACAAUAAGUGGAAAUUAUACAGUGACCUUUUCUUCAGCUAUCUCGGUUUCCCCAUUUUUAAUCAUUACACAAGAUUUGGUGGGGAAUGCUGCUGACACAUUGCUCCUGAGGGGGCAAUUAGCAAAGAAGGAAAUUCUCCAGAAAGUCAGCAAAAUCUUCUCACUUUACAAUGUAAAAUGACAGGGAAGAGCCCAACUUUGGGGGAAUGUCAUAAUACUCAUCUCCAUCUUGUGAAUUCCAAUAUGCCUUGCAAUUAUAAAAAAGUCCAUUAGAAGCAAAUAUCUGAGGACAGUAAUGCUAAUGACACAAGCUAUUAUCAGCUAUAAAUAUUGCAUUAAAUAAUAGAGCACUAAGGGCCUGCAAUUCACUCUAGAGCACCAUAUUGAUAAACCCUCAGAAGGCAAAAUCCCCCAACAACUUUUGAUCAUUUAGGUAACACCAUAUCUUACACUGCCACUGCACUGAAAACAUGAAUCUAGGGAUUUCUUGUAUGCGGUAGGAGAUGGUGUUAUUUAUCAUCUCAUUUAGGAGCUGCACUGUUUUUUAAAAAUCAAAAAACUCUGGGGAGUUCCUGAAACUAACUCUAUGCUCAUCAUUUAAAGCACACAAACAUAUAUUUUAUUGCUUCAUUUCUUUUAUGACUUUUAUUAGCAUUCCUGUAGAGAUGGUUUUGAGAUGAUACAGGUGCAUAGCUGAGGCUGUCCAUGGUCCUGAGCAACUAUUCGAUUGAUAAUUUAAAUCUCAACAUAGUAGAGUUGCUACAAGGUUAAAUUCCAUAAAUGGGGAGUGAACAUGGACCACUGGUAACAAACUGUAUGGGAAACAGCCCUGCUAGAAAAGGUAACCAACAAAUUGAAACUAACAUGGGGACAAACAAAAAAGGAUGACUUCAGCCCGGUGUGGCUCCCCUUUAUUACAUAUAGUAGUUCCAAUCUUUAAGAGAGGCCACCCAAAUGUACCUUCCAAUUAUAGGCCAAUUAGCCUGCUCUCAAUAAUUGGGAAGCUGUAUGCCCGUUUCCUCAGUAGCAAACUGACAGCUUUUCUAAAUGAACACAAUAUACUAUCUGAAGCCCAGGCAGCUUUUCGUGAGAACCAUUCAACAACAGACCACUGUCUAAUGCUGUCCUUCCUAGCCGAGAAGUAUACCAGGCCUCUACAGGGUAAGCUCUUCGUGGCCUUCAUGGAUCUGAAAUCAGCGUUUGACUCCAUCCCCAGAUCCCAGCUAUGGUCCAAAUUAAGUCUGAUUUUGCAGGACAAACGACUCCUCCUUCUCAUAAAAGCCCUGUACAAUGGAACCAAACUGCAGGUCUGAUGCGGUCGAUAGGGACAGCUAUCGAACAGCAUCGAGAUGACUAGGGGGGUGAGACAGGGUUGUAUUUUGGCUCCCACAUUGUUUUGUCUAUUCUUAAAUGACCUAGAAGAGAACUUAAUGGACCCAGAUGGACACAUUCCAAAAAUAGGAAUGAGAAGGACCCCCUUGUUGUUAUAUGCUGAUGACGCAGCCAUCAUCUCACGUUCCAGACCGGGUUUGAAUUAUCUGUUGAAGAAAUUUUCUGAUUACUGUUCUGGAAAUGGUUUAUCCAUUAAUUAUGAAAAAUCUAAAAUUUUAGUCUUCGAAAGAAGAUUCUCCCGGGCUAAAUGGGUGCUGGAUGGCCAUAACCUUGAACAGGUAAAAUACUUCAGUUAUCUAGGGCUCACAUUCCAUCAUACAGGAUCUUGGAAGCAGCAUUGGCAAACCUCCCUUCAAAAGGUGGCAAAUAUGUUCCAGCAGCCUUAAGGGUUUUCAAUGCAAAGCCUGUUUCCCAACUCCUGUAUGCAGCAAAUGUCUGGCAUAAUGGGGACCUGCCAAAGCUAGAUGGCUUCCAGGCAAAAUUUCUACGAUCUCUGCUGCAGGUACCUAACUGCGUCCCCAACUCCGUACUUCUGUUAGAAGCUGGUGAAUGCCCAAUUUCAACUAAAGCGUGGUGGGGGGUCCCCCAAAACAUUGGCUCAGGAUUUCAGUGUUUAAUCUAGGGAAGGGUUUGUACCAACACCUGACCAGUGAGGAAUUUGUCAGCAAAUGGCAGAAAACCAUGGCUAAAAAAGCCACCUCUAUUGGUCUGUCUCCCCCCCAACUGUAUUACCUGGGUUAUGAAGGCGCCCAAAAGAUUUUAAAGCAAAGAUUAUGGGAUAAUGCACACAGUGACUUGCGAUAUCGAUCACACGCAGUCUGUAGUCCGCUGGCAGUAGGAAUUCAAUAUGGGUAUGUCUUUAAGUUAACAUCUUACAUCAAAAACCUGACAGUACCAAACUACUGAAGGCUUUUCACCAAAGCCAGACUAAAUGUCUGUCCCUCUGCAGUGUUGGAUGGCAGGUUGAGAGGAAUUCCCUACCAGGACAGACUUUGCUCGUGUGCUCAAGACAUCGAUUCCAUAAAGCAUAUUUUGUUGUAUUGUGCAAAAUAUGAGCAGGCCAGGGCUGAACUGAUACUACCCUUGCUGGUAUCUUUCCCAGGAAAAUCAGAGGCUCACUAUGUCAGGUUCCUACUGGAAGACCGGACAAAUGCUAGAAUGUUAACAGUGGCAAAGUUUUUAUUGGUGGUUGCAAGAACAAAUGAGCCCUAUAUUCUAAACAAAAUGCUUGAUUAACCUGGAGGUAGGCUGUAUGAAUUGUGUAUUGAUUUGUAAUGAUUUGUUGGGUCUCUGGACCGUAAUAAAGAUUGAUUGAUUGAUUGAUUGAUUGAUUGACAUAUAUAGCCCAAGAAGACAACAACCUAAGCCCCUCUCCUGACAACACAUGAAUUGAUAUGGCUAAUUUGACCCAAGAACUCCCUUCCCCUCUCACACACAAACAAACUCACUGCAAUCAACUGAAUACAACCAACCAUGCUCUGGGCUCUCCAACCUCUCACACUGCAAACAAAAACAAUCCACCUGACUCUGACACCAAACACUGCACAUUUGUUGUUGUUGUUAGUCGUGUCUGACUCUUUGUGACCCCAUGGACCAGAGCAUGCCAGGCACUCCUGUCUUCCACUGUCUCCCGCAGUUUGGUCAAACUCGUGUUGGUAGCUUCGAGAACACUGUCCAACCAUCUUGUUCUCUGUCGUCCCCUUCUCCUUGUGCCCUCAAUCUUUCCCAACAUCCAUUUUACUAUGGCCCCAGGUCAGUCAUGGGUGAGGCAAAGAAACUUGCAUAACGCUGGGACAGGAAGCAAGCUGGGUCGCUGAUGGUUUCAGGAAUAGUUGUUGAAGAAGAAGAAGAAGAAGAAGAAGUUGUUUCCACACAGGUCAUAGCUGGAUGUUCUUCCCUAACUAUCUCCCUCUUAACAAACUCCCAGCCAUCAUGAACUCAUGAGCUUGCAGGGCAGCAGCUGAAGAAGGAGCAAAAAGGGUUUUUGUGUGUGUGUGUGUUUCUUUGUGGCUGAUUAGCUGCUCUCCCUGUGCAAAGGUCAGAGGGGGCAGGGUUUCUGUUGAGGCAGGUGAUUAGCUGUGGGAGGAGCUUAUCAGAGCUUGCAGGGCAGCAGCUAAAGAAGGAGCACAAAGGGUUUUCUUGUGUGUGUGUUUCUUUGUGGCUGAUUAGCUGCUCUCCCUGUGCAAAGGUCAGAGGGGGCAGGGUUUCUGUUGAGGCAGGUGAUUAGCUGUGGGAGGAGCUUAUCAGAGCUUGCAGGGCAGCAGCUGAAGAAGGAGCAAAAAGGGUUUUUGUGUGUGUGUGUUUCUUUGUGGCUGAUUAGCUGCUCUCCCUGUGCAAAGGUCAGAGGGGGCAGGGUUUCUGUUGAGGCAGGUGAUUAGCUGUGGGAGGAGCUUAUCAGAGCUUGCAGGGCAGCAGCUAAAGAAGGAGCAAAAAGGGUUUUCUUGUGUGUGUGUUUCUUUGUGGCUGAUUAGCUGCUCUCCCUGUGCAAAGGUCAGAGGGGGCAGGGUUUCUGUUGAGGCAGGUAAUUAGCUGUGGGAGAAGCUUAUCAGAGCUUGUAGGGCAGCGGCGCGCGCCUAGCGGCGUGCACAGUUUGAUCCAUCUUUUAGAUUUAGGGGAGCUAGUCUCAAACGUUUGUUGGGGGAGACCUAGGUUUUUUUUGGGGGGGGGAGUUAUUUGUCCUGUCUUCACGCUUUUUAUGAUGGAGGACCGCUGUAGCCACCCCCAACGACACGUUCUCAAGAUGGAGGGGGGGGAACAGCUGCAGUCGCCUGCGGUUCCUGCGCAAUGUUUGCCAUCUUGCCAAAGGUUGCAGGCAGCUUUACCUGCAGCAAUUGCAUGUUGAUUGCCCUCUUAGAAGACAAAGUCCAGCAACUGGAGGAACGUGUAGCUAUGCUCCAAAGAAUUAGAGAGCUGGAGCUCUUCUUGGAAGCAACAGAGCACACCAUCUCCACCAAGGAGGAGACAGGGGACUCCCCUGAGAAGGAGGCUAGUUCACCAACACAGGAGCCAGAUAUAUGGAGAAACGUGACUCAAAGAAGUAGGAGGCCCAGGGUUCGCUCUGAUUGUUUAGAAAUACACAAUUGCUUUGAGGUCCUCUCCCCUUGCAUGGAAGACGAAGAGCAGACUCCAUUUGAGGAUCUCUUCCUCAUUACAGUCGAUCAGGUAUAUGAAGACGAGCAGCAAAGUCAGUCCUCAGGGAAUGUGCAGGCGACCUUGGAACGGACAGCUCACGGAAGAACCCCGACCAAACCUAAGAGGAGGCGUGUAGUGGUGAUAGGGGAUUUCCUACUGAGGGGAACAGAAGCAGUGAUCUGUGGGCCUGACAAGAUGUCUCGGGAAGUGUGCUGUCUCCCGGGGCUAAGAUCCAAGAUGUAACUGAACGACUGCAAGGAAUCAUAAAACCCACUGACAAAUACCCCUUCCUCUUGGUUCAUGUGGGAACCAAUGACACUGCAAGCAAUAGCCUCCAGAAGAUCAAAAGAGACUACGAGGCUCUGGGCAGGAAAGUGAAGCAAUUAAAUGCACAAAUUGUCAUCUCAUCUGUCCUCCCAGUUGAACGACGUGGCCCAGGGAGAGAGGGGAAAAUAGUGGAAGUGAACAGCUGGCUUUGCAAAUGGUGUAAACAGGAACGGUUUGGAUUCUUAGAUCACGGACUGCAGUUUCUUGAAGAUGGACUUCUGGCAAGCGAUGGGCUGCACCUCACAAUGGUUGGGAGAAAUGUUUUUGCCAAAAAUCUCAGAAACCUCAUCAGGAGGGCUUUAAACUGACUAAUGUGGGGAGGGAGACAGUGCUCCUGAAGGUAGGAGUCUAUCAAUUGAUGAAGAUGAUCAUCCAAAUGUCAUAGACCAAAUGGAGCAAACAGCACACAGACCUAGUGGUGGGAGGAAAAAUCCUUAAAUAAGAGACACGGGGAAUGAUUAAUGGACUUCAAUGUCUGUACACUAAUGCGCAAAGCAUGGGAAAUAAACAAGAUGAGCUUGAGCUCUUGGUACAGCAAACUAAAUAUGACAUAAUAGGCAUCACUGAAACCUGGUGGGAUAAGUCCCACAAUUGGAAUGUAAUAAUGGAGAGAUACAAUCUGUUUCAGAGAAACAGACCAGACAAGAAAGGAGGAGGAGUGGCGUUAUAUGUCAGGGGUGUGUAUACCUGUGAAGAGAUCCAAGAUUUAGAACCUCAAAGCCAAAGUGAGAGCAUUUGGGUCAAAAUUAAGGGAGAGAAGAAUAACAGUGACCUCAUUGUGGGAGUUUACUAUAGAUCCCCAAUCCAAACGGAGGACAUAGAUGAUGCCUUCCUGGAACAGAUGGCCAAGCAUGCAAAAGGAAGGGAGAUAGUAGUAAUGGGGGACUUCAAUUACCCGGUUAUUUGUUGGAUGUCAAACUCAGCCAAGAGGAUAAGGUCAAACAGAUUCCUCACUGGCCUUGCAGACAACUUCAUUGUCCAGAAAGUGGGAGAAGCAACAAGAGGAACAGCCAUUUUAGAUCUGGUCCUAACCAAUGUUGAUGACCUGGUUAGUGGGGUAGAAGUGGAAGGAUCAUUAGGCGCGAGUGAUCAUGCUCUUCUGAAGUUUACUGUACAGCGGAAAGGAGCAGCCAAGCAUACUAGGACUCAAUUUCUUGACUUUAAGAAAGCCGACUUCAUAAAACUUAGGGAAGUGCUGGGUGAGAUCCCAUGGACAGUAAUACUAAAAGGAAAGGGAGUUCAUGAUGGCUGGGAGUUUGUUAAGAGGGAGAUAGUAAAAGCACAACUUCAGGCAAUACCAAUGAGACGGAAACAUGGAAGGUGCCUAAAGAAGCCAGGGUGGCUAUCUAAAGAACUUAUAACUGAGUUAAGAUUUAAAAAGGAUGUGUACAAAAAAUGGAAAAGGGGGGAACCACCAAAGAGGAAUUCAAACAAAUAGCCAGCACGAGUAGACACAAAGUCAGAAAAGCUAAAGCACAGAAUGAACUCAGGCUUGCUAGAGAGGUUAAAAGCAACACAAAAGGCUUUUAUGGGUAUGUUCGUAGCAAAAGGAAGAACAAAGAAACAGUGGGGUCACUCAGAGGAGAAGAUGGUGAAAUGCAAACAGGGGACACAGAAAGGGCUGAACUCCUCAAUGCCUUCUUUGCCUCAGUCUUCUCCGAUAAAGAAAACAAUGCCCGACCUGAAGAAUUUGGAGCAAAUGAUUCAGCAGAGGAAACACAGCCCAGAAUAACUAAGGAGAUAGUACAAGAAUACUUGGCUAGUUUAGAUGUAUUCAAGUCUCCAGGGCCAGAUGAACUGCAUCCAAGAGUAUUAAAAGAACUGGCAGAUGUGAUCUCAGAACCACUGGCAGUCAUCUUUGAGAAUUCCUGGAGAACAGGCGAAGUCCCGGCAGACUGGAGGAGGGCAAAUGUUGUCCCUAUUUUCAAAAAGGAGAAAAGAGAGGACCCAAAUAAUUACCGCCCAGUCAGUCUGACAUCAAUACCAGGGAAGAUUCUGGAGCAGAUCAUUAAGCAAACAGUCUGUGAGCACCUAGAAAGGAAUGCUGUGAUCACCAAUAGUCAGCAUGGAUUUCUGAAAAACAAGUCAUGUCAGACUAACCUGAUCUCGUUUUUGACAGAAUUACAAGCCUGGUAGAUGAAGGGAACGCAGUGGAUGUAGCCUACCUUGAUUUCAGCAAGGCAUUUGACAAGGUGCCC